GACUGAUGGCAAAACUACAUAUGUAAUAAUCGUAUGCUCUCGUCAUAAAAAAGUGCAUUGGACCAUAACUAAUUGUAACAACCCAGUCCACUAGCAACAAUAACUCGUUGGGUCCAGCAUUGGACCAUGACUAAUUGUAAUGACCGAGCUCACUAGCAACAAUAACUCAUUGGGCCCAAACCAUCAGCCCAAACUGUUUAAACCCAAUUAUUAUUACUAGUGUCUAAGUCUCUUAUAUACCCAAUCACAUCUCCAUUCCUAUUCAAUGUGAGAUUAUUGGGGUGUGACAGACUCCCCCCAUUAAGGUCCUGACGUCCUAAUCAGUCUAAUCACACACACACAGCCGACGAUCACCACGCGAUGUGAGACUCGUCUCGCUAGCCUUGUCAUCCAAACCCUGACAUAGCCGAUCAUCUUGUCUUUCCGACCCUGGCUCAGUCGAGACUCGCCACCAGUUAUUAUUACUAAUGUAUAAGUCUCUUAUAUAUCCAAUCACAUCCUCAUUCCUAUCCGAUGUGGGAUUACUGGGGUGUGACAUUAAAAGUAUUCUAUUAUGCUAUAAGAGUGUAAAAUUGCAACGAAUACAUAUUCACAUUCAAACGAAUAAAAAUUAAAACCUGAUAAGAGUGUUCUAUUAUGCCCUAAGAAUGUUCUAUUACAGCAUAAGGGUGUAAAAUUAUAACGAAUACAUGUUCACAUUCAAAUAAACAAAAAUUAUAACCUAAUAAGAUUAUUCUAUUGUGCCCUAAGAGUGUUCUAUAAUAUUAUAAGAGUGUAAAAUUGCAACGAAUAUAUGUUCGCAUUCAAACAAAUAAAUUAAAACAUGAUAAAAGUGUUUUAUUAUACCCUGAGAGUAUUUUAUUAUGGCAUAAGAGUUUAAAUUACAACGAAUAUAUGUUCGCAUUAAAACAAAUAAAAUUAUAAUCUGAUAAGAGUGUUCUAUUAUACCAUAAGAGUGUUUUACUACGACAUAAGAGUUUAAAAUUACAACGAAUACAUAUUCGCAUUAAAACGAAUAAAAUUAUAACCUGAUAAGAGUGUUCUAUUAUAUCUUAAGAGUGUUUUAUUAUAUUAUAAGAGUAUAAAAUUGUAACGAAUACAUAUUCGCAUUCAAAUGAACAAAAAUUAAAAUAUGAUAAGAGUGUUCUAUUAUAUUCUAAGAGUGUUCUAUUAUGGCAUAAAGGUGUAAAAUUAUAAUGAAUAUAUAUUCGCAUUCAAACGAAUAAAAUUAUAACCUGAUAAAAGUGUUCUAUUAUAUCCUAAGAGUGUAAAAUUACAAUGCAUAUAUAUUCGCAUUAAAAUAAACAAAAAUUAAAACAUGCUAAAAGUGUUCUAUUAUGUCUAAAGAAUGUAAAACUUGAUAAAAGUGCUCUAUUAUGCCCUAAGAGUGUUCUAUUUUGUCAUAAGAGUGUAUAAUUGCAAAACAUGUUCACAUUCAAAUGAACAAAAAUUAAAAUUUGAUAAGAGUGUUCGAUUAUAUCAAAAUAGUAUAAAAUCUGAUAAGAGUGUUCUAUAUUACGGCAUAAGAGUGUAAAAUUACAACGAAUAAUGUUCGCAUUCAAAUGAACAAAAAUUAAAACCUGUGCCCUAAGAGUAUUCUAUUAUGUCAAAAGAGUGUAAAAUUGUAACGAAUAUAUUUUCGCAUUCAAACAAACAAAAACUAAAACCCGAUAAGAGUAUUUUGUUAUGCCCUACGAGUGUAAAUUUGCAACGAAUAAAUAUCCACAUUCAAACAAAUAAAAUUUAAUCAUAUAUGUGAUUAUAAACUAUAUAUGUGUGCGUGACACUAUACUAUACAAGUAGCAAUUCUACAAAUACAAACAAAAUAAUCAUUUAUAGGAGUGUGCAAGCUACAAUGUUCCGUUUCAAGCAGUGUAGCAAAGUAACUACUAAUACCUCAUAGCACCAUUCUACUAAUCCAUAAGAGAAUAUAUUAUUAAUACAUGUUUCCUAUAUAUUUUUUUUAUUCAAACGAACAAAUCUUAAUCAUAUGUGUCAUCUAUAAACCGUAUGUGUAUGUGUAUGACUGUAGUAUACAAGUGAAAAUUUCUAAACCCUCAUCCUAUAUUAUGAAUUAUAUGGAUACAAAUAAAAUAAUAUGUACCAGUAAAUUUGUGUAACACUAUUCUACCAAUCCCUAAAUGAGAGUGUAUAUUUGCACUGAAUACAUGUUUCACAUUCAAACAAACAAAAUUUAAAACAUCACAGUACUGUUAAUUAUGCCGUAAUUAGGUAUAUUUGUAAUGAAUACAUGUUUCCUAUCCUAAACCAAACAAAAUUUAAUGAAAUACGUGAAGUAUAAUUAUGUGACUGUGGAAGCAACUUCUAAAUUCUAAACCCUAAUUCUAACUCUAAAUCCUGAAUUUAUAUAAAUGCAACCAGAAACAAUAUAUACUAGCAGUGUUUUAAAAUUGAGUGAAUCUGCUACUCAGUGACGAAGUUCGCAACACGACAAAGGUGAAUGUGAAGAUGGAACCCUAAACCCUAAAAAUAGAAAUUUUAUAUUAAAUAAAAAAAUUGAAAGAACAAGAUUGUAGAAAUUAAAAGAGUGUCCUGUUUGGGUUGAGUCUCCUGUUUGGGUUAUGGCCAAGAGGUCAGAAAUCGCCCCCAAUUUUGGGCGCCCACGAGCGAAUGAAUGAGUGGCAGGUCCUGGGAUGGACAGGAGAGUGGUUUGGAGCGUCGUACAAGCGAUUGAGAGGUGAGCUCCUAUAAUGAAGAGAUGCAAGGGCGAGAGAGAGUUCUGAGAAGAUUGGAGCAGGAUUUUCUAUAGAGCACAAGAAUGUGUGGAACGAAACAACUGCGACGUAGAGGCGAGCUCCUGCCCGAUGGAGAGAGGCGAGAGCAAGAGAGAUGCGAGAGCGCGAGAGAGAGGCGAGUGCGAGAGAUAGAGAGAGAGGGAAUGCUUGAAACCUGAGAAAAGGGGGUGAGAUUAUACCAGUCUUUAGUGACCAUUUAAUCUCAACCACCAAUUCUUUAGUUGUAGUAUGUACACCCCAAACAGGAGUGUACAGGUAUCUUUUUCUUUUUUUUCCCUACAUAAGUCCUAACGUUUUUAAAUAUACUCCUGCUGUUAUGAUCCAUUAAAAAAAUAUAGUUGACCAUAAGUAAAAUACUUAACCGUGGUUAAUGGAUGAGUUAAAUUGAUCUUUUUAAACCUCUUAUAUUAUUGGGUAAAAUAAUUUUUGGGAGGAUGUCUUUGCAUAGCUCUAGCAGCUGAGACUUUUGGAGAGAUAUAUUUUUAAAAGAAACAAUAUCAUUUCACUUAUCUGCUGUUAAAAAAUAAAUAGUGCUCUAACGGUAACAAACCAAAGGAACAAAUAUAAAUAUCAUUGGAUAUUUUCAGGGAUAAAAAUAAAAAGUUGAACUUUAUAGGAAUAUAUCUGCUAUUCGAUAUAUUUACAAAAAGUUAUGUGCAAUUAACCGAGUCUUAUAAUAUAAGUGUAAGAUUUAUACCUUAGGCUUCCUAUUGCAAAGAUUUUUCCGCUAUAUUAAUUAGUCUUAUCAUUUUUUAAAUUCUAAGACCGACCGUCCCUAGAGCAAGUGGCAAAGGGCUUGGUGGUUAGUACCUGAGACCCAAGUUCGAAUCCUAGUUGAUUCAUAUAUUUUGCUAAGUUUAUUUCUAAAUGAAAUAAACAAAACGGAUAACGUGCUACCUAUCGUCUCCAAAAAAAAAAAAUCACAGCUCAAGAUUUAUGCUUAUAAUAUAAUAAAUAAUAAAACAUAACUUGUGUAAUGUUAGCUUUUUUUUUAUUAGUAAAGAAACACUUGUGCACCUGGUGCAUACAAUAAUUAUUUAUUGACAGGAGCUAAGACGAAUCUUAGUUGCACUUGCCAUGGAGUAGUUGGGACGGCAGCUGUUCUUCCCCGGAAUUUCGUAGGCCGGACGACGGGACACUCCCCCCCCCCCCCCCCCCCCCGGCCUCUUCUCUCUCUCUCUCUCUCUCUCUCUCUCUCUCUCUUCUCGGCCUUUAUGCCGGCCACUGCCCAAUCACCGUCACCCUCCUGCGUAAGAAUUUAUUACGCGCACCCAGCGUAUUCACAUAUCUCACGCACCGUGUAUAAUUUUUGAAGACCUUAAUAAAAUCACAAUCCUAUCCUGUUCAAUAAAUACAGUGCGCAUAAUACAAUAGGAAAAAUAUAUAUAAUAAAUAUAUUCUUUUAAGUCAACUUUGCAUAUACAUUUUUAUAAAAAUUCAGUGAUAUUCAUAUUUGACUCCUGACUUGUUACCGUUAGAAAUAAAUAAAAAAAUAAAAUUUUGUAGGAAUAUAUAUACUACUCGAUAUGUUUAUAUGGAGCCGCAUGCAAUUAAUCCGAAUAUAUAAAAUCCGCUGAGAAUCCUCGUCCAAAAUGUUAGAGGACAUUGUAUGUAUAGAUGUAUGCAGAGUGUACGGAAUGUAAUUGUACACCGGGUGCACGCAAUAAGUUCUCCCCCUUUGGAGCAGUUGGGAGCAGAGAUACAGUUGCCCCUCCCCCCCUCCCACUCAUCCGCCGCCACGUGUCACGCUCCCAUUUCUCCUGUAGAAUACUCUAUACUAGGACUGUACCGGUACUCCUAACUAAUCCCGUACUAAUCGCAGAGAGAAAUUGCGAAUCUCCCUCUCACUCUGCUCCCAUGCCACACAAUUUGUUGCGUCAUUUGGAAUUUUGGUUUCACUGAUUUCUCGCAGCUGCGAUGCUUGACAUGGUCAAGCUGAAGCUCCGCGCCUUCCUCUCCCGCCUCCGCUGGCCCGCCUCCACCCCCCGCUGCCGCCGCCAACGCCGCCCCGCAAAGCCCGCCGUAGUCGUCCGCCAAUUCGGCCGGCCGAACCCCAACAUCGACGACGACGCCGACGACGCCGCAGAAUCAAUGGCUAAGCCCAACACCUCGAAGAGCGCCGUAGUACAACUCCGUCUGGCCACGUUCAACGCCGCCAUGUUCUCCAUGGCGCCCGCCGUCUCGGCAGACCACGACAUCCGGUGCAAGUCGGCCAACGACCGGCCCAAGGGCAUACUGAAGCAGCAGAGCUUGGGGAAGUCGAAGCUGCGGGUGUCGAUCAACCUCCCCGACAACGAGAUCUCCGUCGAGAGGACCAAGCAAUUGAGGGAGAGAGCUCCCUCACAAUGUUAUUACGGCUUCGGUUCCCCGAGAUCGCACUGCGGUGCGGAGCGGAGCAUGCUGGACGUGCUGCGGGAGGUCGGGGCGGACGUCAUCGCGCUGCAGAACGUCAAGGCCGAGGAGGAGAAGGCGAUGCGGCCGCUGUCGGACCUCGCAGAGGGGCUCGGGAUGAAGUUCGUGUUCGCCGAGAGCUGGGCGCCGGAGUACGGCAACGCCAUCCUGUCCAAGUGGCCCAUCAAGCACUGGAUGGUUCAGAAGAUCUUCGACGACACCGAUUUCAGGUGUGUUCAUGCAUGUGCUCUCUCCCUUUUAUUUUUUCCUGUUUUAAUUUGUUCUUCUGAUUGAUGUUGGAAGUAAGAUAUUGUUCAGAGCUCUUUUUAGUGAACUAUUUGAACGGAAUUACUGGUCCUGAUAAGAAGGUUGAUCUUGCCUGAUCUUCUAUUUACUUUUGAGAGCAGUACAGUAUCUACCUUUGUUUAAAGCUUUUCAGAAUUUUAUCAGUUGGCUGGCUAUUAUUGCAUUAUAAAUACGAUACCAAAAUAGCUAUAACACUUCUAUUCAUGUGCACGACGAGAUUAAGCGGACAUAGGAAUUGAACUAAAAACUCUUAAAACUAAAAAAGCACACAGCUCUGAUACCAGACAAUCCAAAAGAAAAAAGUUUUUAGAAGAGCCUUAACAAUUAGCACUAUAGAAUUCGUAAUCAUAAGUCGUGAAUGUAUGAGUAUCCACACAAAAUUCUGAUUUCAGACGCUCUUAGUCGGUACGAUUCUUCAUACUUUAGUCCUGGACAGAUAGGAAAAGAAGGGAAAUUUUCUCCGUGAAAAAGGUGAGCACUUUUUUCCUGGUCGUAUUUAUUCCGUAAGCAUUCAGUGUAAUCAUCUAAUUUUCAAUGGUUCAAGAAAAACCUUUCUCAGAACAGAUCUGUACAUUCAGCUUUAGUAGGCAAAGCACAAUGUUGACAAAAGUGUCUUCUUAGCAAGGAUUAGGUAAGCCAUCCAUGUUUAAAUUGUAGAAUAUUAAGUCUAACUACUAUACUAAUCGAAAAACACAAGUACUAACUACUAUGUCCUGCUCCCACUAAUAAAUCAGCAAUAAUUGAGAAGUUUGUUUACCAGCUCAGGCAUUAAAAAAAAUGUUUCAGAAAUGUUACUCAGAGAAGCUUCUUUUCACAUGCAAAAAGUUUAGGUUCAUUGUCCUGUCAAAGUUAAAAAUUCUAAUUACUGAUAGAAUCUACAUGCUUUCCCUGUUGCUCAUUGGAUCUCUAAAUUCACACAGACACUGUUGAUCUGCAAACAGGAAUGUGUUGAAGGCCACAAUCGAGAUACCGAGAGUGGGGGAAGUGAAUUUCCACUGCACCCAUCUCGACCACCUCGACGAAAACUGGAGAAUGAAGCAGAUAAACUCGAUACUUCGGUCCAGAGACGGGCCGCAUAUCUUAGCCGGAGGACUAAACUCUCUCGACGAGACAGACUACUCGGCAGAAAGGUGGGCGGAUAUCGCCAAGGUGAGUCGGCUUUCUGCCGUUUCCCCUUCGAGUAUCCGAGUAUAUUCGAUUUCACAGUAACUUUUUGUGUGCAUCUUUGUAUUAUAGUACUACGAAGAGAUUGGAAAACCAAAACCGAAGGUGGAGGUUAUGAAGUACCUGAAGGGAAAGCAGUAUGUGGAUGCCAAGCACUUCGCAGGAGAAUGUGAAGCUGUAGUAAUACUUGCUAAAGGCCAAGGUAAGCAAUACCUGCUGUAAACUAAGGUCUCGUGCGGCACCGCUUACUGCUUACGUUAUUCCUGUGUUUGUUAGUUUGAUUGAUCACUCCAAAUGGACGUCGGUUGGAUUGUUUGCAACCUAUACAUGUAUAGAUAUAGACAUAUCCAAUCGUUUGAAAUUUGAGUUUAACAAAAGCAUUUGUAGCAUGGGAUUGAAAGAAAAUAUGUUGUGAUCAUUUUGGUUCUUUCACGUUUAAUGUUCUUUAAUUUCUUUCUGACGACAAAUUGCAGACGUGCAAGGGACAUGCAAGUAUGGGACGAGAGUAGACUACAUAUUGGCGUCGCCAUAUUCGCCAUACAAGUUUGUCCCAGGAUCCUACGGAGUCCUCUCAUCAAAGGGAACUUCAGAUCAUCACAUCGUCAAAGUCGACGUUACUGUCGACAGAGCAGACGACGAAAACGGCGGCAGACGCCGGCGACACCCGAAACAGAGAGUAGUGAAGAUGGAUAAGGCAUCCUCCAGAGGUAUAUGGGGAACUAGCUAAGAAUUGUGGAACUCCUGCCUUUCUUGUUGUUGUUGUUGUUGUUGUUGUUGUUGUUGCGCUGUUUGUAAGAUUCUCCCACAUCUUAUUUUAUGCCCAGUGGUGGGUCUGUGUGUAAUAGAGAGAUAGAGAGAGUGUAUGAUUGCAAGGAUCAGCUAACCAGGGGAGGGAACUGUAUAUUUUUGUUUCCCUUACCGGCUGCUGCAGUUGUUCUUUUACAUUGAGAGAUCGAGAAAAAGCAAUGCAUGAAUUUUUUUGUGAAUGAUCAACCAAAUGAAGGGAUGUAUAUAAUGUUACAUCUGCCUUGUGGCAAUUUAAGUUGGUGGAUCGUAAAAGGCUUGAACGAAGAAUGAGUAUUACCAGUGCGUCUGGUUUGUUCUAUGAAAAAUUAUCAGGAACGAAGGAAUUCCUAAGAAUUUGAUUUCUACUCAUUUUAUUACUAAAUAUGUGACAUUAUAGUGUUUGGUUCGCAUAAUUAUAUUAUUUGAGAUUACUAGAAAUAUAAAAUUAACAUGCUCGUCUUAUCAAUUAAUUUCAAGUAAUGUUACCAGUAAUAUAAACACCUUUUUUUUCAAUACUCACAAGAAAUCUGGUUUUAGGUUAAACUGAAGUAGCUUAGCUUAGAGAGAGAGAGAGAGAGAUUUGAGGCUAAAAGUAGUAAGAGCUGAGAUUAGACAGAGGGGGUUGAGAGAGUUUCCAGGUUAGAAAUAUGGAGAGAUAAAGAAAGAAAGUUAAGCUUACAGAGAGAGCGAGAGAAAUUGGGAGUGAGAGAGAUUUGAGAUUAGAGAGAGAGAGAGAGAGAGAGAGAUCUAGAGAGAGCAUUAGAGAGAGAGUAUAAUUAGAGAAAUUGAGGGGAUAUAAGAAUUGAGCUUUCAUGCUUUUAAAAGUACAAAGUCAUUGAUGCUUGUAAGUUUGUAGCUCUUGGAUUAAGAGAUGUGCGAUUAGGAUGAUAACGGUCCCUAGAGUUGAGUGGGUGGUUGGUUGAAUAAUAUAAUCUAAUAGACAGAAAUGAUCAAAAGAAUAAAUUUAACGAUAAAAAAGUUACAAGCAUCAAGUGCUUGGUUCUUUUAUAAGGACCAUAACUGAACUCAAGAUACAGUUCAUAUUAGUAGAAGAGAUAGAAAAAUAGAGUUAGAGAGAGAAAGAGUGAGUUUAUGUUCAGAGGAAGAUGAAGUUGGAGAGAGAAAAGAGAUGGGAUUAGAGAGACUCAAAACGAGAACAUUGGGUGAUGGAGGCGGAGAGCAAGAAAAAAAUUAGAUUGGAUUAGAAAUUUUAUAAUUACCCUAAUUCAUUAAUACGAGAAUAUUUAGAUUUUUUUUAAAAAAAAAUUGAGAUUAUUAUUUUGACGCAAAUUUCAUUCCUAAAUAUAUCUAAUACUACAAAUCAAAUUACUUGAUACAUUUAAUUGAAUAUCAUCGUAACGUGAACCAAACACACCCUAUAAAUUAUUAUGAAGGUCAAAUUUCUAAAAUCAGAACAUGCAUGACUCCCCUAGCAAAUGGGUGGUUCAAGUCACCCAACUCGACUUGUAUAUAGGGAUGCAAACGGAUCCGGAUUGGUGGAGCUCCUGCCCCGAUCCGUCCCGACGGGGACAGUAAAUGGGAGAAAAUAAACGGAUUCGGAGCAAGAAACGGAAUAAAUUUUAUGAUCCGAGGCGGAUUCGGGACAGAAAAUAGGAGAAAUUUUGACUUGCCCCGAAUCCGCCGCACCAUGAUCCGCCCCGAAUCCGACCCCGAAUCUGCACCGAAAAUCAUUAUAUUUUAGAAAAAUAUUCUUAAAAAAUAAUGUAUUUACAAAAAAAGUUCAAAAUACAAAUAAGUUAGUACUCUCAUUUCUAAUGUAUUUGAAACUUUUAAAUUUUGUUUUGAAUUACGAUUGAUAUUUUUAAUUUUUAUAAUUGAUAUUGUUAAAUUAUAUAAAUAAUAUUAUUAAAAAUUAUUAAUUAUUAAUUCAUAAAAUAUUAAUAAUAUUAUAAUUUUAUAAAAAAUAUUAGUUGGCGGGGUAGAUUCGGGGCGCUGGCGGAAGGCAGGUUACGAGGCUGGAGAAAUUAUAUAAUGUAUUUUUUAACCCGUCACGGAUUCGAGGCUGGAGGCGGGGCUGGAUUUUGCUAGUCGGGGCGGGAGGCAGGGCGGGGCGGGGCUCCCGCCCCCAGAUCCGCCCCGUUUGCAUCCCUACUUGUAUAACAUAUUUAAUUAUUUAAAUUACUUGGACCGUAAAAUACUAGAAAAUUAUUUAAAGCUUGAACAUGACUGAGAUGUAUGCAUAAUUAUGCACUACAAAUAUUUCAUUCACAUGUCUAAAAUUUGGGCUCGACAUAAAAUGGGUCAUUGGUAGGUAGGUCAAAAGCGGACUACAUACGCUGAUCAACAUUGACAUGAAAUAUUGAUAAACAAAUUGAACAGGCCAAACUUAAUUAAUUCAUCAUGAACUCAUGUGGCCCAAGCUCAAAUUCAAACAUUUCAAACAUUGAAAACUCUACUGUUUAAAAUUCAAAUAUAGCUAAGUAUCAAAAUAACCCAAGUACAUGUUCAAUAGAGGCCGCGAAAGAUCUCUACUUCCUAACUGACCAAUGUAUGUACAGUUGUAAUUUCUCAGGUUGGUACAGCGCAAGUCAAAUAGAAUUGUUACAAUCUACAUAUUGCUUAUACCAAUCGAAUACAUGCUGUUAAAUUCUGAGCCAAAUUGUCAGGUUCCAAAUUAUGUUAGGUUACAACUCGCGACAUAUCAAUUAUUGCUAUCUUGUUACAGAUCCUGCACUAAUCCUUCAUAUCUUUCUUCAUUUUCAUACCUAUUUUGCCAAGGACAUUAAACUAUAGAGCCUUGUAGAUUGAGUUUUUCUCUUCUUUUCUUUUUUCUUUCUUUUCCUAGACCUUAAUUUGUAUCAACAUCCUUCAUUUUCAUAUAUAUUUUGCCAAGGACAUUAAACUAUAGAGCCUUGUGGAUUGAGUUUUUCUCUUCUUUUCUUUUUUCUUUCUUUUUCUAUACCUUAAUUUGUAUCAACAUCGAUUUUGUUAACAAGGACAAAACAGCAAAUAAAAAGAUAAAAAGAGCAAUAGCUUAUUAUAAUAUAGCCUAUGGUUGAGGAGUCAUAAGUACAUCUUUUAUUUAUCAUAAUUUUACAACCAGCGAUGGCCUUCAUUAACUAAGAGCUCCAAUAUUAAUCAUUGGAUGAUUUAUAUUUUAAAUAUAAAAACGUACAAAACUUAUCUGAACUAUAAAUCAUUUUGAAUUGAUUAUCCAACCUUUUAAUUUAUUUGGUUUGAACCCGUCUACGCUACUUUGACUUUAAAGUUUAAACACAUUGCUUAUUUAGUGAGUUUAUAGUUGCGAGAAUUGAGCGAAUUAUACUGACUAAAUCUAUAAAAACACAUUAAUUUAAGAUCUAGAACCUAAAAUAUCAUGUUUAUUUAGGUGCACAAGGGGAGUGGUUGAACCACACAGAAAAUUUCCCAAUCCUGGAAUUUCUGCUCAAUUAAAAUUUCCUGCAAACCGAACUGAGAACACCCCUAAGUUAGUUUGAUUUCAGUGGACCUGAAAUAGGACCUCUACAAACCAUAAUAAACAACUAUAAAAUAGUGAUUUGAUCCUACACAUCUCAGCAAUAUAACAUCCAACUUCUGUGUCAUCCGAAAGCGCAUUUCUACAUUUUCCCAUAUCUGAUGCAAUAAUCUCCGACAGAUGCUGUUCAUUCGUUAGUAGGUAGGUAUUCUGAGGCUUAUCAUGCAUCAUUAACCUCUGCCCAAUUACAAAACUCUUCUGUUGGUUUCCAGACUCAAAACUAUUUUGAAGCUUCUUCCCCAAACCACAGAUUCUACAACAAGUUCGUACUCAUAACAUUCCACCCAUUUCUAUCAGUAAUAUCUUCAUACGUAUAUACAUAAAAGGCAUUUUGUGGCAUCUAUCAAAUCUUCAGCUCAACAAUGUAACUCGCACCUAAAAAGUUUAUUGUUAUAUGAGUUACUCCUUAUUACCGUCACCCUUCUUCACGUAGCUGAAAAUUAUCAGUAAAUAGCAUGAGAAAUGCAACAGGCAAAUGUCUAAUGGCUUUUACACAAGACAAAUAAUCAUUGAAUCUUUCAAAUACAUCCAAGCAGGACACACACCGCUCUAUGCCGGUCAACUACGAAUAAUUAUAUUCCAAAUGCGUCCAGAAAUACAGGAUUGAAAUUCAUAUAAUGUAUUGUAAGAAAUGCAAGUCUACAUGCAGAAUUAAGUUCAACAGAUUCACUCAAGAAGAAACAUAACAUACAGACACAGGUUUUUGAAACUCGGGGAAAUAAAUCACAUAAGUUUCUUCUUUUCCAGUAUCAUAAAGUAUCAGAACAUCAAAAUCUACCACAUAUUAAGUACAUCAAACAAAGGAUCAAUUCGAUGCCUCAUAUAAAUCACAAGAGGUGUGUAUCUUUCACAAAGAACUUACCUCUAUCAGUCCAUCAUUUAUUUGCUGACGUAAAUAAGAAAUUUGAUGCUAAUAAGAGGCCCCUGAACCAUUCUAGCAAAAUAUGUCAAGCAGCAGCAGCCUGCAGCAGCUCCUUUUCUGCCCGUUCCCGGAUCCUCCUCUCCAGCUCCGGCCUGAAGUGCCUGAUGAGCCCCUGCACUGGCCACGCAGCGGCAUCCCCUAGAGCACAUAUGGUGUGCCCCUCAAUCUGUUUCGUCACCUCCUGAAGCAUAUCGAUCUCCUCCAAUUUUGCAUUUCCCACCUUCAACCUCUCCAUGAUCAUCCACAGCCACCCCGUCCCCUCCCUGCAUGGCGUGCACUGCCCACAGCUCUCGUGCUUGUAGAAGUACGACAGCCUCGCUAUCGCAUCCACAACGUCAGUCGACUUGUCCAUCACUAUAACCGCCGCAGUUCCCAACCCCGAUUGAACAGCCUUCAAUGCAUCGUAAUCCAUCAAAACAUCAUCGCAUAUGUGCUUCGGUAGGAGAGGAACAGAAGAACCCCCAGGUAUAACAGCAAGCAGGUUAUCCCAUCCUCCUCUCACACCACCGCAGUGCCUCUCUAUCAACUCCUUGAGAGGAAUGCUCAUCUCCUCUUCCACCGUGCAAGGCUUGUUCACGUGACCAGAUACGCAGAACAGCUUUGUCCCUGAGUUGUUCUUCCGACCAAAACUUGCAAACCAUUCGGGGCCCCGCCUAAGGAUAGUGGGAGACACGGCUACAGUUUCCACAUUCGUGACAGUUGUAGGGCAGCCAUAUAGACCGGCAUUAGCCGGGAAAGGUGGCUUAAGCCGCGGCUUCCCUUGUUUGCCUUCAAGGCUCUCCAACAGAGCAGUCUCUUCACCACAGAUAUAAGCACCAGCACCAAAGUGUAUAUGCACAUCAAAGUUGUAUCCGGAUCCACAAGCAUUCUUUCCCAACAGUCCCGCUGCAUAUGCUUCUUUCCUUGCCUUUUCGAGGUUAUGACGCUCAUUAACAUACUCCCCUCUAAUAUAGAUGUAAGCGGCUGUAGCCCUCAUACCAACUCCAGCAAUCAGGCACCCUUCAAGCAGUUUGUGCGGGUCAUGGCGCAUGAUCUCUCUGUCUUUACACGUGCCUGGUUCACUCUCAUCAGCAUUAACGACAAGAUAGGAAGGGCGGCCAUCCGAUACCUUUGGCAUGAAUGACCAUUUGAGACCAGAAGGAAAGCCAGCUCCUCCACGGCCUCGAAGGCCAGAUUUCUUCAUUUCAUUGACGAUCCAAUCAGCUCCCUUCAGCACCAGAUCCUUGGUCCUGUACCAGUCACCUCGCUUCAUUGCACCCUUAAGGAAAGGGUCAUGCAAGCCAUAAAGAUUGGUGAAGAUGCGGUCUUCGUCCGAAAGGCCGCCAAAGUGGGUUUUCUCUACCGGCGGUGGUGGCGGUGGAGCCUGUGGAGUAGUUGCAGUUGUUGUGGCCUGGGUGCUGAAGAACCUAUGAGAAGAACCCAACCUCUCACUGUUAAAAUGACGAACCAAUUGUGCCUUUGGUAGAGACAAAGGGUUCUUGAUAGAUCCCUGCAGAGAUGUAAACAUAUAAAUUCAAUGACUAGCUCCUAUUCUGUUACAUUUUUAACAUUUUACAGCAAGGAUUGAAGUGCUGCCCGUGCCGUACGGCACGGGGGCGUGCCGUCGGUACAGGGGGGGGUCCGAGACCCCCCCUCUGUCUGGCGGCACGCACCUGCGUGCCGCUCGAGACAAAGCAGCACGCAGGUGCAGAGCGGCACGCAGGUGCGUGCCGGCGGCACGUACCAUGCGUGCCGCCAUUUUUUUUUUUUUUCCUUUUGGCUUUUUUUUUUUGGUUUUUUUUUCUUUUGUCCUCUAGGGUUUGGAGCCCCCCCUCCCCCCCUCCCCUCUUGGGCCACCUAUAUUGUCAUUUUUUUCACUUUGUUGUCUUUUUUUCAAUUCUUUUUUUGCUUUUUGGCGGAUACCUUUUUUUUAACUUCUUAUUUAUCAAUAUAGGAGCAAAUUUUUAAUUGACAUAGGCGAUCCACCACAGACAUCCAAUUUUUCUUUCACAAAAAAUUUUGUCAAAAUUUGUCGCACCGCGAAACUUUCGAUAAAUCAAAGGAACAAAAAUCAAUUUCCUAAACAAAUUUUGAUCAGAUAUUUUUAAAAAGAAUAAAAAAACAAAAAAUAUAGAUGUAAUAUUGGGAAUAUAUGAAUUUCUCACAAUACCAGCAAUACUUAUAUCAAUAUUGUCAAAUAAAUCUUGUAUCUGCAGAUAACAAUAUGCCAUAUGAUCCAGCGCGACGAUCUAUGUGGAAUUAAGCAGUCAUCUCUAUGUAAAGAUGUAAAUUUAAAUAAUUAUUAUACUUGUGAAUUUUAUUAUUAUAUUUUAAUUUCAUUCUACAUCAGGUAUAGCUGUACUUUGCUUACAAAAAGUUUUCAUGCAUGUUAAUUGAUGAGUAUAGUAAGGUAUAUAUAGUAAAUAUUCAUAAUUAUUUUGUUUAAAUCUUUCAAAAUAAUAUUAUAAGAGUUUAUUGGAACCAAAAAAACUAAAAUAAGUCCGUGCCAAAACGUGCCGAUAGGAGGUCAUGCGUAUCUAUCGGCACGCAAGCGUGCCACGUGUCGGCACGCAAGCGUGCCUGUGCCGUACCGUGCCAGGGACAUAACGGCACGCCCCCGUGCCACGGCACUUUAAACCUUGUUUUACAGGUUAAUGACAACUAACUAAGUAAUGCACCUAGUAUACAUUGUUGUUCAAAGCAUAAAGAUGUUUCAGAAAUUGAACUGUUGUAGCAUACUUGGAAAAUUAAUGCACUAAAUGAACUAACUGCAUAAUCAUCGGCCAUGACCACUCUUCUUGGAGAAAGGACAUGGAAACCUCUCUGGUGGUCUCCAACAAAUUUAAUACAGUAUUGUGAAGAGUUUGGUAUCUAACUACUGCAGCAAGCACAUCCCUUUAGAAACUAUUUCAUACAAUGGUUAAUAUUUGCAAACGCAGUAUAUGAGAUAGUACAGGAUAUCAAAGAAGAGGAACCAUGAGGCACAGCCAUCAGAUCCAGGACCAACAGCACGGGAAAGCAAGUGUAGUGACAUUAAUUUAGAGCCAACAGGAAGGGGUUCAGCUUUUCAGAGUAGCAAUGGUGGCAAUGUGAUGAAGUUCGAAGGUGGUGUCAAGGUGUUCCAGUAGAAGAAUAGGCCUGAAGAGAUGACUCAAGGCCAGAAACAGUGUGUUGCCAGAACAACGGCUUACUGUUCUCCACAUUAAUCGAAACUUGCUUUGCUCAAAGGCAUAAUUGCCCAUGCCAAAAGUCAUAUGCAUUCACGUCAAUUAUGUCACACUUCGCUGCAUCAUGGUAUUCAUGAUGCAGAAAGUAAGCGAAAGAGGCAGUGUGACGAAUGUGAUACAGGCUACACCCAUCAUGAACAACAUAAUGCAGAUGAAAACAUGGUAAAGCAGUGAUGCCUUAUUCCUCCACAUAUGUUCUAAAAUGAAUUAUUUGUAAAUGGCUCAUCUCUACAAACUUAACAUGAAACACCUUGAAAGAGAGAAACAAAAGAAAAGCUGCAUAGUCCAUGUUUAAGAAAAAUAAGGAAAAGAACAAACCAGGGGAAAAGACAACAAAGCAAUCAUAAUAACGUGAGCACAGUCUGCUUGACUAAGGCUCUGGUACAAAAUUUGAUGUGUGAACAAAGGAGGAAGCCUCAUAAUUCCAUGACAAGCCCUUAGAUUGUUAACAAAGAAAAGAUACCAUCUCGACAGGAUUAUUCACAAAUAACAAGAAUGAUAUAGACUCUCAAGUCUCAAACUAAUAAUGUUGCUACAGGUGCCCUUUGAAUGUACUUGUAGAUUAGGUGCUGUUUAUAGAAAAACACAUACGCAUUGAAAACACCAAUCAAUUAGGCUCAAAAAGAGACUUUACAGCAGCAGCUGAUUGGGAUGAGCAACCAACUGUGAGUUUGAAGAUGAAUUUUUGGAAAACCCUGAUUUUCAAUCUUUCUACCAAACUCAACAGUCAACAAUUAUCUUGAUACAUAGAGUCUCGCAAAUUUCCACAGCUACGAAAGCUUGCUUUAAAGAUUCAGAGAGGAAGAACUGCUAAAAGACUAGAGGAGAGUUACAGAUAGAGAUUAUGGCAUCAUACAUUAAGAACAAACAUAGUUGAGACCAUGACUACUCAAACCAGAGAAUGUAACUUUAAUUCAUCAUAAUUAUAUUGCCACAUAAGCGUACGUUCAAAACCUCAAUCCAAACAGAGGCAACUAGAGCACUAGAUGUCAUCAAAACCCUACUUCCAAAGUUAGAACCACAGUACGACCAUGAUUCUUCUUUCCAUCAAUGGAAUGAAACUCACAUUCACCUAUCCUAGAAUAAGUCUAGGUAUAUCACAAACCAAUUAAGCAAGUUGAAUCUUACAUUUUGAAAUUGAAAAAAUGGAAGAAGUUUCAGUUUAAUUAAACCGGGUUUAAUGUAUGCACCAAUCCCAAAAAAUACUUCACUGACAAGCUAAUAAUUUUCUAGAACUAGACAAGCACAUUUUGGAAUGCCUUAUUCAAGUUAUAUUGCUAGUUUCCUACCGUUAGGCUGUAUUGCUAGGUAGGCUGGAGUCUCAACUGUUUCGCCAUAAUUUCUGCUUGAUUCCUACUUGAGAAAAUCCAUUACAAAGCAAAUUCAUGAUUCCCUAGUACACAAUACAUGACUAGAACAAAAAUUAUGACAAGAUUGUUGCUACCCUAUACUUGACACUAACCCAUCUAAAAUAAGUUAACCCAUCGUAUUCCCUACGAAAUGAUAACUCGUGUUUUCCAAUUACACUUUAAUCAUCAACUCUCCACAGGAUGGCUAUCCAUUUCAGCCUUGCACUUCUAUCUUUAUGACCCGUAAGAAAAAGAAGGUAAGUUGUUGGAGUGAUAAGAGCUCUUGCUGACAAAAAAUUGGAAAGAACUAGUUUAAGAAAAAGCUAAACUAAAAGCGAGAUAAAUCCAUUAAAUCAAUAUCCCUAAAGAGAGAGAAUGAGAGAUGGAUUUUAAAGUGCUCAAGGUUCUGGAGAUCAACAGGAAGCUUAGAAUUCUAUUGCUGUUCCACAUUCAGGAGAUAUAGAUUGCAAAAAUUUAUUAAAUAUCUUGAUGUUAAUUUGUUCUGCAUUUCCCAUUUUCAAGUAUCUGAAACAUCAUAUGUCCACAUCUCUGUAUCAUAGGUUAUCAAGAAUUAUUUCAUGUAAGUUCUUCAUUGAAUAAUUGUAGGUUCUUUUUAUCCUAAUCUAAAUCUCUCUUUUUGAUACAAAAUAUGCAAUGCACAUGAGUGUUUGCUAGUAAUAUGACAGUCUAGAUAGAAUAUGGUGAAGUAGUUACAAAAUGAAAAGGCCAAUCAUCUAUAGCACAUGCAUAAAGAUUAACAGCUAACUAUUUAACUAGAAUGCAAUUAUUGAACCAUUAUUAGCUCUUGUAUUUGUGAAAAAGAUCCGAUAUUCACAUUAAAACGAGUGGUGUUAUUCUUGAUAAGUAGCUCUCUAAAAAUAAUAUAAAUUGUGUCUUGUCCACUCUUGUCCGCUAGGUUCCAAUAAGUUAUAGCGCUUCAAAGAUUUUUCUGUGAUACCCAUAUGAAAGAAAUACUAAAUAAUACAUAUCAGUAUAUAGGAUCCCGACGAAUUUCGUCAAGUUUCUCAGGUUUGUUAAAUUAAACUUAAAUUUUCUAAAAAGUUUAGAAUCAAAAGAAUCACAAUGUCUUCAGUCCUCAAAAGGUGGCAAAAAUGUAUCUUAUUCUUGCUGUACAUAUAUAGCUACAAUCCGCCUUGUGCACAGGAUCUGAAAGAGGGGAAAUUCAAAAAAGAGAGAGACAGAGAGAGAGGGGAAAUAAGAAAGGAAACAAGAAAACAGAUGAUUAACAAGAAGGAAGAAGUCUAUCUUGAUCAUCAUUGGGCUAUAUUCUACAUAUGAUUGUUUUAAUUGCAAAGAUAUCAUACACCAUCUAUUAUCUAGUAGUCUAAAAUCAUCUUCACUAAUUGUUCAGCGGUAUCGUAAAAUUGUAGGAGUCUCUUCCUUAGCUCUAAGAGUCAGGCUCAACCAACAAAUAAAUUCAAAACCAUAUUACGCGGUCCUUACAAGAUCUAAAGUAGAAUCCAAAUGUUAAAGUUUCCACAUCACAAUAACUUUAGAUGUAAAUGAAACGUUAAUAAAGCUAAAGACAUUGACAAGUUAGCAUCCAAGUUAUGCAUUCCAACUUAUGCAUAAGUUAGAGCAAUUGAAACUCUUAUAAUUCUAAAAACAUUCUUCUCAACUUAAAAUAGGUGAUUAAAACUAGAGGAAGAGGUUUCCGGCAACAAGCCUGAACUUCCCACGAACAAAUUUAUGAAAAGAAAGAAAAAUUACUAGCCUCUACGUAUUUUCUGGAUAUAUUUAUGCUAAAAAACGAAAUGCAUUUCAGCCAUUGUCCAAGUCAAUUAGGCAUGACCGAUUAACAAAUGAAAUGUACAUAACAAGAUAAAUAAUGCCUCAAAAGACACUUAGGGCUCAUAAACAAACUAUGGUGGUAUACCCACGAAGCGUUUUUUCUCCUUUGGAGAGAAAAAAAGAAUAGAAGGGGCACCAAUCAAAGAAGUUUAAGGUGGCUAAUAUUUAGAAAGUCCGCAUUUCUUGAUAUCUUUGAAUUGCUCAAUACAUACUGUGCAUACUCAAGCAAAUACUUGCAGACAAGGAGACUAAGCAUCCUGUAAAAUAAAUUAGGCACAUGCUGACAUUUAAACCAGAAUUACAUAAGCUUCCAAUGGACAUUACAGGCAAGUGAAAAUGCAGAUAUGUUUGCCAAGAGAUAUUAAGUAAUCCUAAUAUUAGAGAUACUAAAUAAGCAAUGCUCUGACAAAUUAUAGUACCGGAAGUAAUAUUUCCAUCAAAAACGAAGAUAACCACAAAUUUAUGACAGACAGGAGGAUCGUCUUAUAGCAUUAGCAUAUGGUUAUUAAACAUAGACCAGCACUAAUGGCGGAUAUGCAAGAACAAUGUUGCCAAGUGCUUCUAUACUACUACAGAAACAUGUCUAUCAUCUAAUCUCUAGCCUGAUGUAAUAAAAGAUUAACAAUGACGCAUGCAUGAGAACCCAACUUUAUCCAUGUUAAUUAAGUACAUAUAUAGAACGGUAGAUAUAUAGUUUGCAAGGUGACACCAUUUUGCCAAACGUUGGAAUCAAGUUAGUACAUUCUAUGGAUAAUACACCAUCUCAAUUUUACUUUCCUCAUCCCAAUAAUUGCGGGGAGAAGCAGAAAGUGGCGCAAUAUCCAAAAAGUGUCAGACAUGAAAAGAAACUUUGUUUCUAACAAAAAAUAAAUUAUCUUUUAAGCUUAAGCCCAAGUCCACAGGAUGACAAGUCAUUUCAAUCAAAUCUAAAUUUAGAUUUGUGCAAUAUCUCCGUAAUCAAGAUGGGCUUAUUACAUAUUGACCAAGCAAAUUGUGCCGAUUUGUGGCAAUCAAAUCAUCUUAAUGGUGCAUGUGGCAUCAUUUUCUUUCUUACUAUUCCCAAUGUUUGUUAGGAAAAUCAGAAGAUAGAGCAAAUAUUAGCAAUAUUUCGGAAGUAAAAUCAAAGAUAAUCUAUUUAGUAAAGAUUUCUGCUUCUAUGCCCACUAGGGCAUUAAAUGGGGGGAAAAAUUGCUUGGCAUUAUCUUUUAAUCCUGCUCCAGCAAGUUAUUUCAGUCAGAUCUAAAAAUAAAUUUCUGCAUCCAGCCUCCAUCUUUCAGGUAGUGUUAUCCGUGCAUCUAUAUAUGUUUACAACAUCUUGAACUAGGGCAUACUUAUAUGCAACAUCUCCUUAAUUGAAAUGGAUGGCAUAUUUUAUAUUCUUAUAUAUGUGAACAUAAGAAAUCAUCCUUUUCUACUGGCUACAAUCCUCAAAAUCUCUGAAUAAAUCCAAAAACAUCUGUUUGAUAUCCUCACUCUGCUAUACAAGCACCAGCUUGACAUAUUUGUCAUGUAGAAUUCCGCACCCUGCUGUAAAGUAUCUGCUUCAUAUUCUAGGCAUCCACAGAAAAGAAGAAAAGGUGCAACUCCUAUAGCCCGUUGAAGAUCCAUACUUUCAAUAGAAGCGUUAAUACACAAAAUAGGAAUCACAUACCCACUAUUCUCCCAUUUAUAUUAAUUGACUAAGAAUGUAUAUGGAGACAGGGCUCGUCAAACAAGCUACUGAUACAAACGAAGGUGUUAACUUAGAACAAAGUGGCAAAUUUUCGAGCGAAACGCAAUCUCAAACCGAAUCCAAACGCGUCGGAUACUACAGAUCCCCAAAUACUGCAGCUUCACCGGAACCCGAGAUAUCUAGGGCACUGAUUCCCUACGUCAGAUCGCCGCGAUCGCCAUAAAACCCCCAAAGAAACCUAGCUUCCCAAUUUAACAACCCAAUCGCAAACAACAAAACCGAACCCUAGAUGAAAGCGAAAAAGAUUUAGGGGAUCGGGGCAACGAAUACCUCGUCGAUGAGGGAGGCGUCGUCGGCGGCGACGCCGCGGCGGACGAGGUGAUGGUGCGCGGCGGAGAGCGUCGGCGCCAGUGCCCCGACCCUCGCCCUCGUCAUCAGAUACUUCGCGAGAGCGCUCGCCAUUUCCGGUGAUAGCUUCGAGCGAAAAGGUUUCGUUCUGCUCCGCUGCUCCUGUGCAGUAGUGUUGGAGAGGGGGGGGUGGGGGACGGCGAGACGAACGCAACAGGGCUGGCGACACUCGGGCCAGAAAGAACGUGUGGCACGCGCGCUCGCACGUGACUAGUAGUAGCUCGGCCUGUGAAAAUUAGGCCCAAACUUGAAUUUUGGAGUUAACUUGGACUCAUAUAAGAUCAGCCCAAAACCUAAUUCUCGCCGGUGGUCCGUAACCUUCACCAAUUUAUUUCACUAUGAUACCGUCCCUAGUGCAAGUGGCAAAGAACUUGAAAGUUGGUACCCGAGAUUUCAAGUUUAAAAUUCGGUUGCUUCAUAUUUUCAGCUAAGUUUAUUCCUAAAAACAAUAAACGAAACGGGUAUCAUGCUACCUUUCUCUUCAAAAUAUAUAUAUACAGUCAUGUGCUUUCGAAAGUACGGAGGCCUCCGUGUUUGUAAGUUAUUGUCGAUGAUGGGACAUCCGAUUCAGCGAUCCAUUCUGUUAGACAUGAUCUAUGCUAUUGGAACUAUUUAGAAACCAAAUUUUAUAAUUUUUUGACUUCGUUUGCCUAGUGAACAAGUAACCUCAAAAUGAACGGCUGAAAAUAAAAAUCUCAUAAAAAAAGUGAUAAUGGACUCAAAUUUCAAAUUGAAAGUAUUGUUCUUAAUUACUCUUAUGUUAAGUAGAAUUUUCUAUUAAAUUUUCAUGUAAUUUGGAUACUUUUACACCGUUGAACUUAAAAACGUGUCACAUCGGCCGUUAAAAUAGUUAUUUUUAAAAUCAUAUGAUCGCUUGGUAAAUGAUGUCGAAAAAUUAUAAAUUUUGGUUUCUAGAUAGUUUCAAUAACAUAGAUUAUGCCUAAUGAAGCCGAUAGUCAAAUCGAAUGUCAUAUCAUCAAAAAUAACUUAUAAACACGAAAACCUCUGUACUUUCGAAAGUACGGAAGACGUACUCUAUUAUGAGGCCGUUUAGAUCAGGUAUAAAGGGGGGGAUAAAGGGUUAUCCCCCCUUUAUACCCAAACAAAAAUUAGAUUGGUACAACCCGGUAUGGACUGGGAACAAGUGUUCCCACCCAGGGGUGGGAACAAGCUUGUUCCCAACCCCCCCUUCCCCCGGGUAGAGAGAGAGAGAGAGAUUUAUUUUAAUUUUAAAUUUAAAUUUAUAAAAUUUAUAAUUUUAAAUUUUAAAUAUAUAAUUUAAAAUUAAAUUUUAAAGUUUAAUUUUAAGUUUUUAAAUUUUAAAUUUGUUAUUUUAUAUCUUUGAAAUUUAAAAUUGGUCUUAAAUUUAAAAUUUGAUAUUUAAAAUUAUAAUUUUAAAUUUUAUUUCAAAUUUUAAAAUUUAAAAGUUAAUAUUUUCAAUUUUUAAUUUUAAAUUAUAAGUUUAAAAUUUUAAAUUUUAAAUUCAAUUAUAGGGAUAAUAUCAUUAUUUUCUAUUUAUAAUUAACAACUAUUCCUCUUAUUCUCAAUAACCAUCCAAACGCAAUUUUUUUAGUUCUAGCUUAUACUCACAUUUUCAUCCAAACAAAAAAAAGUACUUUUGUUCUUACAAAACCCAUACUUGUACCUAUCCCCGGUAUAACUAGUUCCUACUAAUUUCCGAACCAAACGGAGAUAUUUAUUUAUUUCACUAUGAUCUCUAAUAUCUUUUCCCAUAUGCACAAUCAUCACAUCGAGCUCAAUCUCAUUACCCUCUCAAUGUUGUCCUACGCGCCUAUAAUCGACCACCUUGAUCUCCAAUGCGACAUAUAUUACCUCUUUUAAAACAUUCGAUAUCCUUAGUGUCAAACUGAACGUGCUAUCAAACUCUUCCAAAAACUUAAAAAAGAUGGCUCUAGAAUUGACAAGAGCUAUCCGACUAUAGCCACUGUCUAUAUGCACAGGUUAAUUAGAAUUGGCAUAGCUUAUUACAUCAAAAUCAAUCAAAAUUUAAAUGGUGGAACUUAAGUACAACAAAAUUUAAGGGUUAGGGAUCUAAUAGCAAAACAAGGAAAAAAAAACUAGGGACCAAAGUAAAAAUACAGAUAACGAUUAGGGACCAAUAUGGCAAUUAGCCCAACCUGAUAUUGCAAGUCGGUUCUUGUACUUCUCUGUUGGACAGUUUAGUUUGCAACACUCACUCACAUUGUAUUUCUCAUUUCUAUUUGUCAAAAAGUUUUAACCUCUUUUACUAAGCUUGUUUACAUAAAAUAUUCAUCGGUUUUGUAUUUUUAUAAAAACAGGCCAUUUAUUUAAACUUUGCAAAUUCGGUCCAAACUUUUAGUAAAUUAGCCAAAAUAACAUUAUUUAUCUGUUCUCCUUUUUUUCGCAUCUUUCUCCUCCCAGUUUGGGGUUUUCUGAAAACUUCGCUAUCAGAAUCCUAAUCGAAAGGCCAUCAUGUUUCAUGACGCUAAGUUGCACUAUUUGAGACCAAACUGCACCAUUUGAAACUAUUUGAGAUUAUGUUUCAUCGUAUAAAAUAAAAAAUACGCUGUUUGAGACUAAGUUGUACUGGUUUAGACUUAAUUUACAUCAUUUAAAAUUAUUUGAGGCUAAGUUGCAAUUUUUGAAUGAUGCAACUUAAGUCUCAAACAUUGUAACUUAGUCUCAACUUAGUUUCAACUUAAUAUCAAACAGUGUAACUUCUAUUAUGUGGUGCAACUUAGUCUCAAAGGUUUUAGAUGGUGCAAGUUUUUUUUUGAGAGAAAUAUAGCUUGCUAUCCGUUUUGUUUAUGUUUAAAUGGUGCAAAUUUGUCUCAAUUAAUACAAUUUAUUUCCAAAUAGUACAAUUUCAUCUCAAAUAGUGUAACUUUAUUUUUUUUUCUUCUCUAUUUUUGGCUUUUUCUGUAGCGGCCAUUAGAUAUGAUGGUCUUCUAGAAAAAGAAUUUUUUUUUUUCUCUUUUGUUUCCUUUUUUCCCAUCAUUUGUAUUUUUUUUUUGCUAUUACUCUCUCUCUCUCUCUCUCUCUCUCGCUUUCUGUCGCCGCCAUCGCCCCCACCUAGAUUCUUUUCUUACAUAUAACACUACACGGGUAUCUUUAUUCUUCGACAAAAUUAUGUGUACACCUACUCACAUUAUCCCCAAAAAUAUUAAAAGAAAAAAAAUCACCUGUAAUGCUAUUUCAAUUGAACAAUUUAUAGAAUUUCAUAUCCUUUUUAUUUACUAAAAUUUUUCUCAAGAGUUUUCUAUAGAAGUCAUUAAAUAGAGGUCUUACAUUUCACAAAUCCAAAAGCCCAAAUUAGCUAGAAAAAAAAAAGUUCUAGCUAUCAAAUCCUCGGAAGCUUUUCACGACCUUUUCUCCAAGGCAAAAAAUCAAAAAAAAUGACAAAAUACCCAAAAUCCUAAUUAAGGUUAAGAGAGAAAGAUGUCCAGAAUGAAAAAGAAGCGAAAAAAAAACCUAAUUGAGGCUAAUUUAAAAAAAAAAAAGAACCUUGAUCGAGAUUUUAUUUAAACAAAAAAAACUCCAAACCUAUAAAGGAGGCUGACAAACUAUUGUUUCCUGGAUGAAAAGAGGCCUUAAGAAGAAAACUUGUUGAAAAUGAAGAGGUUAACGCGCGAUAGUCAUGGAGGUGGAUUGAAAAGGGGAAGAGUGUGGCGAAGGCAUUCGUGCGGCUGAUUGAAGAGGCGCGAUCGUGCGUGGAGAGGCAAAGCAGCGAAGAAAUUGGAAAAAGCAGAAUGAAAUGGGAAAAGGCUAGGGUUUGCUCUGGAGGGAAGUAGAUAUUAAGAGAAAAAAAAAUAAGAGCAAUAUUAAAAAGGCCGCUAGAAAUGUCUAUAUGUUCCCGAUUGCAUUUUUGUCGAGGUUAUUGUGACACCCCAAUAGUCCCACAUCGAAUAAUUAUGACUAGAUGUGGGAGUAUAUAAGCUUGAUUGCGCUAGACAUAAUAACUGGGCUUAAGCAUUUUAGGCUAGUAUUUGGGCCCAAUGAGUUAUUGUUACUAGUGGGUUGGGUCGUUAUAUUUGGUAUUAGAGCCAGUUCACCAGCCGAAAAUGUGAGAUGAGUCUUAGCUGAGUCAGGGUCGGAAUGACAGACUAAGUCACGCUCGGUGAUUGACAUGCUUAACUCUCUUAACCUCUUGGGCCUAAUCACCAUCCAAAAUGCUUAAACCGGAUUAAGAGUUCUAACCCUAUUAUAUCUUAUAUAUAGGACUAUUUUGGGUCUUACAAUCUCCCCAACUUUGAGCCCUGACGUUCUCGUCAGGCUCAAACUCACAAGUACCAGGCGAUGUGAGACUCGUCUCGCUAGCCUUGUCAUUAUGACCCCGGCUCAACCAAAACUCAUCUCACACUUUAAGAGAGUAAAGCGUGCUAGGAUGAGAGUGUUCUAGGAUGGGUGACCCCCUGGGAAGUUGGGGCGUCACAUUUGAUAUUAGAGCCAAUUACCGGGUAUUAGAGCCAAUUACCAGCCGGAAGUAUGUGAUUAGUCUCGGCUGAGCCAGGAUUAUACGGCGGAGAGAGUGAGGCUCUCAUGCUGUUGGAAGUGUAAGAUGAGUCUCGGCUCAGUCAGAAUUAUACAGCGGAGAGACCGAGACUCUCAUGCUGUUGACUAUUGUGGGUAGAGCGCGACUCCUUUACAAGGUCGGUUUAGGCUAGCGAGACGAGUCUCAUAUCGCCUGGUACUUGUGAAUCUGAGCCUGACGAGGACGUCAGGGCUUAAAGGGGGGGAGAUUGUGAGACCCCAGGUAGUCCUAUAUAUGAAAUAUAAUAGGGCUAAUCUCUUAACACGGCUAUAGCAUUUUAGACGGUGGCUAGGUUCAAGAGGUUAAGAGAGUUAAGCGUGUUAGGACUAGAGUAGUUCUAGGAUGGGUGAUCCCCUGGGAAGUUGGGGCGUCACAUUUGGUAUCAGAGCUAAUUACAAGCCGGAAGUGUGAAAUAAGUCUCAGCUGAGCCAGAAUUAUACAGCGGAGAGAACGAGGCUCUCAUGCUGUUGACUGUUGUGGGUAAAGCGCGGCUCCCUUUCAAAGUCGGUUUAGGCUAGCGAGACGAGCCUCACAUCGCCUAAUACUUGUGAGUCUGAGCCUGACGAGGACAUAAGGGCUUAAAAUGAGGGAGAUUGUGAGACCCCAGGUAGUCCUAUAUAUGAAAUAUAAUAGGGCUAAUCUCUUAACCUGACUUAAGCAUUUUGGAUGAUGGCUAGGCCCAAGAGAUUAAGAGAGUUAAGCGUAGUAGGAUUGUAGUAGUCCGAGGAUAGGUGACCUCCUGAAAAGUUGGGGCAUCACAUUUGGUACCCCCUAGGAAGCUGAGGCGUCACAGUUGAUAUCAGAGCCAAUUACCAGCCGAAAGUGUGAGAUGAGUCUCGGCUACGUCAGGAUUAUACAACGGGGAUAGCGAGGCUCUCAUGUUGUUGACUGUUGUAGGUGGGGCGCGGCUCACUACAAGGUCAGUUUAGGCUAGCGAGACGAGUCUCAUAUCACUUGGUACUUGUGAGUCUGAGCCUGAUGAGAACGUCAGGGCUUAAAGGGAGGUAGAUUGUGAGACCCCAAGUAGUCCUACAUAUAAGAUAUAAUAGGGUUAGAACUCUUAACCCGGCUUAAGCAUUUUGGGUAGUGACAAUGCCCAAGAGGUUAAGAGAGUUAAGCGCGUUAGGACGGGAGUAAUACUAGGAUGGGUGACCCCCUGAGAAGUUGGAGCGUCACAGCUGUUGUUAUAAAUGCCGACAAAGCUAUGUUUUCCUACAGUGCUAGUACGGAAACUUAUUUUUGCCAUGGGUUGAUAUGGCGGUUUCGAUUAGGUUGUUUGCAUACUGGAUUGUGCCGAGGGAACAUGGAUAGUGUUUCUAUGAUCUGAUUGAUCAUUUGCAUUGAUUACAGCCUGCAUAAGCCGUAUUGAGCUCAAUAGAGAUAUGGGUUGUAUAUAGAUGCGGGUACCCAUGAAUUACCUGCAAAUUUGCUGGUAUGGAUACUAUUUUUUCUUAUCCAAAAAACUAUGGAUAAAAUGAGUGGGUACCAUUUAAGUUGUGAGUAUUUUAGGUAAUCCGAUGGUACCUGUAUAUAUUUUCUUAAUUAAAAAAUAUAAUCUUUAUGAUAUUGACUACAUAAUCAUGAAAACUUUAUUAAUUUUGUAUUAUGAAAAAUUGGAAUGAUAAAGUAAUUUUAUAUUAUAUAAAUUUAUGUGCUUUAAAAUUUUAUAUUGCUUACUAUGUAUCAUGAUAUUUCAAAUAACAAGUUAUGUCGUACUCUUAAAAAUUAUAUAUAUAUAUAUAUAUAUAUAUAUAUAUAUAUAUAUAUAUAUAUAUAUAUAUAUAUGUUUUGCAUUUGAAAAGUAUAGGAGCUAAAAAGAAAAAAAAAAAAAAAAUCUUGCGAGCAAUCCGCAUACCCACCCGCCAUUGCUCAUGGGCGGGUAUGGGUAAAGAUGUUAACUACUCAAAUAUUUACAAGUAAAUUUUACCCAUGCCUAUAUGACCCGCAGGUAUAAUGACAUGUCUACGGGUUACCCAACCCACCCGUCUACUAGCUCUAGUUGUAUACUUGGUGCGUUCAUGCCCCUUUAGUACCGCUUCGGAAUCUGAUUUUAGCAUUGAUGUUGCAACAGUCAUGGUAGGCAACCUAUAUUUUAAUAGGCCAUUUGCAAAAGUGGUGUCAUGAUAGUAUAUAGACGCAAACUUGAUUGAACUCUCGAGUCGGUCGGUAGGAUUGGGCUAUGAUUGUAAGCAAUCAGUAGUUAAUUGAUGUAUACUAUCUAUACAUAUUAUCUCGAGCAUCUGUAGUAUAGAGGCAUGGAAGCUGUAAAUUUUAUAUAUAUAUAUAGAGUGAGGCUACUAUGCUUCUGGAAGUACGGAGCCUUCCGUGCUUCCAGGUCGUUUUUGAUGUUGUGACUUUCGAAUCGUCGAUCGACUUCGUUAAACUUAAUCUAGAGUUUUUGAAGUACCUAGAAAAUAAAUUUUGCAAUUUUUCGAUAUCAUUUGCCUAGUGAACUAAGGGACUCAAAGUCAACGGCUGAAAAUAAAAAUCUUACAAAACGUGAUAAUAUGACAUUAAAAUAUUAGAUCAAAGAUAUUAAUCUUGUUUUAUAUAGUAUAAAGAAUUUUCUAUCAAAAUUUUACGUGAUUUGGAUAUUUCUAUACCGUUAAACUUGCAAAUGGCUCACCACGGUCAUUAAAAUUAUUAAUUUUGAGUCCCUACGAUCACCAGGCAAAUGAUAUCAAAAAAUCAUAAAAUUAUUUUCUAAGUACGUCAAAUACUCUAGAUCAAGUUUAACGGAGCCGAUCGACGAUUCGAAAGUUGCAACAUCGAAAACGACCUGGAAGCACGGAAGGCUUCGUGCUUCUAUAUAUAUAUAUAUAGUCCGGCUACUAAACUCUUAUAAGUACGAUCACCCUCGUACUCAUAAAUUAUUUUCAAUAAUAUUUAACGGAGUGGAUCGUCAAUUUGGAAGUUCCAUUAUUGAAAAUAACUUAUGAGUACGAAGUGCCCUAUACUCAUAAGAGUAUAGUAGCCCUGUUCGUACUCUAUACUCAUAAGAGUAUAGUAGUUCUAGCAUAUANCACGUCUCGACUCUCCGGGAUCUGCUUUCGGCUGGUUCCAGUCCCUGCGAAAGAAUCAAUGUAUCAGAAAUGACCCUAGAGAAACAAGAAAUCAUGAAGAUGGACGGAUCUAUGGGGAAAUCAACAAAGAGCGAGGUUUGUAUCGGAAGCAAAAUACAGGUGUGAUGAAUGAAAGAUGAGACGGAAAAAAUCAGAAUCCGGAUGUGUUUAAAAGAAACCAGAUACUGAAACAAUGGAGUCACAAAUUCAGUUUUCUUUUUAGGCUAAAUUACAUAAAACCUUCCUAUCAAAACCCGAUUUUUUACUUUCCCUCCCUGUCAUUUAAAAACCCAUACUUUGCCCCCUUAUAAAAUAAAAAAUGUUCACUUCACCCCAUGCCGUUAGUAAUCCGUUAGGAUUCCGUUUAUAAAAUAUUAUUAUAUUUUUUUUUAUGCCAAAAAUGCUCUCAACGUACUCUCCUGUGAACAUGGUGAGGGGCAAAAUGGUCAUUUUACUAUCACAGUUCACACCGUACCCCCUAUGAGCAUUUUUCAUUUUAUAAGGAGGCAAAGUGUAGAUUUUUAAAUGACAGGAGGGGAAGUGAAAAAUCGGAUUUUGAUACGGGGGUUUUUUGUAAUUUAGCAUUCUUUUUAUGCUACCUACAAGGAACAAUUCGAUUGCUUUUAGUGGCUCCCUGAAAGAGAGGCUUUCGGUUUCUCACGUUUUCGUCCGCGUAAUAAAAGUGAAUUAAGCCAGUUUAUUACUGCCGACUUUCAAUGUUUAGUAGUUUAAAAAUAGCUUCUGCCAAUAUAUAUAUAUAUAUAUAUAUAUAUAUAUAUGGUUGAUUAUCUCUUUUCUUUCUUACCUCUAUUAGAUCUAAUGAGUAGGUCAUUAUCGUCGAUGAUAGAGCUCUUCACACCUGUCGCUGCUUCUGAUCGAGGUAUGAGAUUAGGAAAUGGAUAACAUCUCCUAUCCGAGUUGGACGUAUAUUGAAGAACUCAAUAGCACUAGGCAUAUCGGGACCAGUGAUGCCAGCUUUAUUGUAUCUUUUACUUUUUGUUAUCUGAGAGGUGGCGGGUGUUCGUUUUGGGAUACUUUCUGUCAUUUAUGUACAGUGACCUUUUAGUUUAGUUUAUUUUAAUUAUUUCAGCUUUGCUAUCUACAAUAGUAGAUUUUUAGUCAUAUUUUGCAAGUUUAGACGCUUUGUGUAUAUGACGGAUCUGUUAACAUGACCGAGUUUCUGUCAUAAUCCGGAGCAUGAUAAAAAUUUUUAAUUAUGAAAAAUAAUCCUAAUUUUCAAUAGUUUGAUAGUUGAGCAAAUGUUAUUGAGUCCUCCGUAUACCAUUCCAUAAUUUCAUAUGGUAUUCCUCUGUGCCAACUCCUAGGAGGUUCCCUGAUCACCAUCCAUAAAUACAAAUUGCACAUAUUCUAUUCUUAAAUGCCAAAACUAAUUAAAUUCAUGCCGAGCACGUCUAUGUCUCCAUACUCUUAUCAAAUUUCAAGUUUCGUCUAAAACUAAGUCAAUUUUUUAGACAAAUAGCAAUCUUUAACAUAUUAGUUCGUUGCAAGAUAUACGCUCCUAAACUUGGUUGAUAUGGUUUUUUUUAGGAUAAUUAUUUAUAUAUCUCUCAAAGUUUUUUAAAUUUUUUAUAUAUUCCUACCUUUUUUUUUUAUCAAAUAUACCUUUCGUGUAUUUCUCCGUUGUUCUGUUAGUACCCGUUAAGUCAUCUCGGUUUUAAAAAAAAUCAAAAUACUCCUAUUGUUCCUAACUUAAGGACAAAUAAGAAAACUUAGUAACGGUAUAACGAUAUAUUUGAAAGAAUAAAAAGUCAAAAACUAUGUAGAGAUAUAUUUGAAAUGACAUAAUAAUAAUUUUUACAGUGAUAAAUCCUAAUAAUUCACCAACAGAAUUUAACUCCGUUGGUAGCCGAGUUUUCCGACCCUUGAUCCAGUCAAAGAUCCUCCUCGAGGAGUGUGUCGGGGUGAGGAACGGCUGCGGAUAGUGACCCUCGAAGUUUGCGCCCUUCGACUGGAUCAAGCGAUUCGGCUGACGAGGGAUCGAGCUAGCCGAAUUCGAAAACCACUAUUUUCUAUUCGGUUCGGUUGGAAUGAGCCGAAUGUACAGCACAUGCCAGAAACUAGGCUGGGAGAAGAGCCGAAUGGCUAAAGCAACACGAGACUUUGUCAGCUUGAGGAGCCGAAAGACUUUCUAUUGAUUGACUGAUGGGAAGUAUAAGGACGGAUAUGUAGUUUACAACGGAGUGAUGCCCAUGGGGCAGACAGAUUCCAGGAUUCUACUCUAGCGAACUACUCUUAGAGAAAAACAGUAAAAUUACAAGUAGACUACUAUUAGAAAAUGAGGAAUACUUCAAUACUCCGUAUAAAUCUUGACCAUUUAUUUUUCUUAAUAGAUGGUUUAGAUUUAAUAUGAUUAUAGAGGUGACCUGCUAUUGAAGCAUAGGUACCAUUCAUCAGGUACCCAUUUAAAGUGUAUUUUAGUCUUUGUAAAAUAGUUUGGUCCACAAAAUCGAUUUUAUCCAACUAAGAAUAUUGUGACCCUCUUAAAUACCUACAACAAUAGUUGAAUUUUAAAUUACAACCAAACUGUAAAUUUAAAUUCAAAACAACAUUUAAAACUUUAUAAAUCAAAUUUAAUUUUUUUGAAUAUAAAACAUAAAUUUAAAAUAAAACUUUUUGUUCCAAUUUAAAAUUUCAAUUUAAAUCAAAAAUUAAAAUUUGGCUUUAAGAUUAAACGUUCAAUUUAGAUUCAAAUUUAAAAGUUUAAUAUACAUUUCAAAAUUAAAAUUUUACAUUACAAUACUAAUUUCAAAAAUUAAAUUUAAAUUCAAUAUUUUUUUGAGAUGAAUACUUAAUAAAUUGGGUAUCAUCUAAUUUGGUAAGUUAUCAAAGUAAACAAGAUAUUUAAUAUUUAAAGAAUACUGACAAAUUUGGUAUAUACUAAUUUUUUUUCAAUAUUGUAAUGUUAAUUAAUUCAAAUCGGUAACAUGUUCAAUAGGUUACUUCAUAUAAAUCCCAACUAUACUCUUUACUAAUUAAGGAAUUAAAUUUUAAUACUUAUGGUGUAUUGAAGCAUUCCUCCUAGAAAAUAAGGAAAUUACGAGAAAAUAAGAGUGGUCUUUUGUUCACAGGGAAGGACCUCUUUUCAAAGUAUCGUUGACCUAUUUAUAGGACCGCCCCUGGUUCACUUAUUACAUGAUCGGCCACUACCUCCUAAAAUUCCGGACCAACUUCAGCCGAUCGAACCGCUCGCAACUGCUUGCGGUUACUGUAACUUCCUAUUUGCGCGACAAUUUUCUUCUUUAGAACUUUUUCGGUGCUCCUGGUGCACGGCCAAAUUAAUGCCUUUGAAAGGAAUUUCGGCCUACCACCCGUCCGCGCCUAAUUGGCUCAACAAACUCUAUAAUAUAUAUUUGAAAUAACUUCGGAAUGUUAAAAGAAUAUUUAUUAUAUUAGCCUUCUAAGGAGUAAACAAGACAAUCUGAAAUUUUUCAGAAUUAAAUAAGCAAUUGCCUUUUUUUUUUCCUUUUUUUUGUUAUUUUUUCUUAAUUUUGGUUAUCUAUAUCUAGUGUUUAGCUAGCAGUGGUGGGUAGUUGAUAUUAACAAUUGAAUGCUGAAUUGCUGGAACUUUAAAUUAUUCAGAAGUACUGUGUUUAUUAACAAAUUAAUUAUCUAUUACAACCUAUUUCAUCGGUGGUUUAUCUUGGAUGAUAAGGAGACGUUGUAGCGACGCAAAGAUUAGAAAACAACAAAAAGAUUAGAAAAAAUUUCAAAUACCACUCAUGUGGUUGCGCACUUUCUCAUUUUAGUACCCUAUGAUUUAAAGUGUAUAUAUCAUCAUUUUCAUACUUGUGAUUUUAUUUUUCUCUUUUUGUUAUCCUUUGCACUAAUAUUUUUUGUUGAAUCAGUGACAAAGGUAAAACUAAAAGGUACUAAAGUGAAUAUUUGAUAAACUAUAGGUGAGAUAUCUGAAAUUUUUUGUAUAUGAUUUAACGGAAAGUUAGCGGAGGGGUUGACAAAAAGAGAAAAAUAAAAUCAUAGGGUACUAAAUUGAUACACUUUAAAUCAUAUAAUACUGAAGUGAGAAAGUACGAAACCACAGUGGUGAUAUCUGAAGUUUACCAAAAAGAUCAAUUAGAGCUACAGGCGACCUUCUAAUUUUUCCGGUAACAUUAUUCUCAAAUCCAACUUGGAUUACAUAACUCUAGCUUCAUUUCGAGCAACUGGUUGUUGACCUUACAAAGAAACUAUUUUAAUGCCAUUUCUUAUAAAGAUAUCAACUUGACAUGCUCCUCAUUAUAGUAUCCAAUCUUUCUCUACAUAUUUAGACAUUUUCCUACUCAAGCUUAGUUUGGUCAAACCUCGCUAGCUCUUCGUAACAUACGAAUAUGUUGAUGAUGAACAAUUGAAGACAUUUUAGAGAGUCGAAGAACAAGAAUUCUUUCAGAGGGUGCGAGUUGAUGGAAAAAAGACUUAUCUUUAGAUUUGGCGAUAGGAGCUGCAGAUUGACUCGAGAUGGGUGUUGGCUCUUCUUCUUCCUCACUCAUGUUGUUCGAAUUCUGGUCACGUUGGCACACACCGACCCUCAAGAUGGUAAAUUAAUUUGACUUGCCUAUCUAUUUUACGUACGGUUUUUUCUUUUUUUAAAAAAAAAUUAUAUAUUUCGGCAUGCAAGAGCAAUGCUGCGUUUACAAUCUAGAAAAGUUUGUAAUUCUACUACUCCAUUAAAAGGAAUGAGUAAUCUUUAGUUUUAGCCUUUGAAUGAGAGAUUGUUGUGUUACAACUUCUUGGUUUUCUCUUUUCACAAUUGUUUUUUUUUUUUUUUUGAGAGAUAGGUAGCACGCUACUCGCUUCGUUUAUUUCAUUUAGAAAUAAACUUAGCUGGAAAUGUGAAUCAAUUAGGAUUCGAACUUGGGUCUCGGGUACCAACCACCAAGCCCUUUGCCACUUGCUCCAAGGACGGUCGGUCUCUUUUCACAAUUGUUGCGAGCAUAUUAUUGAGUGUUUGAAUUAGUGUUUCUUGAAUUUUGUCGUGAACUAUGGAGAGAACCACAAGCUGUUAGUGAUGAAUGAAAGUCAUGUAGAAACAUUAGAUGUCGAUAAAAAUAGGCUCUUUUUUUUUUUAUUUAGCCCCUUCAAAACAAAUUUCUUUUAUGAAUGACCCUAAUAAAUUUAUAUGUGCAUAUAUGACUUUUUUCUUACCACGCGAGUGUCACGUUGGUAAUUUUAAUUUGAAUACGGCGAUUGAAUCACCGUAUUCAUAUUCAUACUUUAGUGUCUUUUUUAACUUAUAGGCAAUAAAAAAUAUAAAAAGAAACACGUGAUUCAAUCACCGUGUUCAACUUAAAAACACCACCUAAGCACUCGCAUGGUAAGAAAAGGAUUAUUUAUAUAAAUAUAAAUUUAUUAGAGUUAUUUGUAAAAAAAAAAAAAAAAACUGAGGGGGCUAAAUAUAAAAAAAGUCCAUAAAAAUAUGCUGAGAUUAUGUUAAAAUAAUGCCCUCUCAAACUUUGGCUGCUUAGGCUAAAUUGGCUAUGUUUUAAAAUUUAACGGCUUAAUCAAAUCGAAUAAAUGGAAAGUUUAUGUGAAUUUUCAUUUUUUGCCUAAACUUUUUUAGAUUAAGAGAGUAUAGCAUUUCUUUUUGCUCUUAACAUGGCCCCCAAAACAUGGGCUGAUCCAUAGCCUGGACCCGGCCCACGCUCGUUAACAUAAGCGUGUAUCAAAUCAAUUCAAUUAAUAAGCUUUAUGAAGAAUUUAAUAAAGAAUAAUAAUAUCAUAGAUUCGCAUUGAAAUGAUAUAGAAGAAAAAAAAGUUAUUUUUGCAAGGUAAAAAUUUUGAAAUAAAUAUUUUUAUUUUCAUCUUAAAAUAAAAAGCAAAGCUAGAAUAUUUUUAGAAGCAAUUACAUGCUAUUUCUCGUGGUGAUGAAACAUUCGAUUGAUUAUUGUCGCAAUUAAAUGUAAUUUAGAUUAUUUAUAUUUUUUAAAUCUUAGAAUUUAUAAAUUUUUGAUAUUAUUUAUUUAAUAGGUAAAAACUGUGUAUAACUUAUUUGAACUACAGACCAUUUUGAGUCGGCUAUUUAACCUUUCAAACUUUUAAUUUUACUAUAUAAUCUUUCAAUUUGAAUUUUAAUUUUACUAUAUAAUCUCUCAAUUUGUUUGAUUGAGUUAGUCAACAAUGCUUUAACUUUAAAAUUUUAAUGUGUUAUUUAUUUCUACAAGUUUAGUUAGCAUAUUUUAUAUAAUUUUUGCAGUUAUAAAUUCAUUAAAAUAAGUAAUUAACUUAAAUUUUAAAGUCAAAAUACCGUUGAUUCACUCAAAUUCAAACAAAUUGAAAGACUGGGUAGUAAAUCAAAGUUUUGAAAGAUUGGAUAGCCUUACUCAAAAUGGUUUAUAGUUUAAAUAAGUUAUGUAUAUUUUUAUCUAUUUUGAUAGCUAUUUAGGGUCAAUUUCAUUCAUACCCCUGUAAAAAUAAAAAUAUCAUAAAUAUCCUUAUAAAUUUUUUAUUAUCNGCUCUUAUUCUCUCUCUCUCUCUCUCUCUCUCUCUCUCUCUCUCUCUCUCUCUUAUUUUUACUUUACUUAAGGUUAAGAUUAAAAAUAAGUAAGGAUUGAAAUGUCUAGUUUACCCUUGACUAUUACAAAUUUUUAGAAGGGCAAAAGCAUGGGCUUCAAAAUAAAAAGAAUUUCAAAACUAUCCCUCACUUUUUAAUUCUUCUUUGUUUAUAUAAAGGUGUACAUUUUAAUAAAUAGUUUGGAUAAAUAUAUUAAUAUUUAAUUUAGAUCAGUCAAAUAUUUAACAAAUUUUAUUAAUAUCUUUUUUAUGAUGUAUAUUGGGCAAGUUAGCUUGGAUGCUUAUGUUAGUUCAAAUAGUUAAGUUUAUAUUAUGCAAACUUUUACUCAGUUUUGGAUUACAAACCGUUCAAAUUAAUAAUUUUAGAUUAACUUAAAUAUUAUAGAAUCUUUUAGUUCAAUAUUUUCAGAUUAAUCUAGAUUUCAGGUAUUGUUUUUUAGUUCAAUUUAUUUUAGAAUGCAAAAGUUUAAAUUUAUAAAAGCUUGUUUACAUGCUAGUUUGUAACGCUACUCCAAAAGUGAUUUUCUUAACUUACAUUAUUUUUAUAGUUGUACCCAUUUUUUUUAUUGCUUCUUUCUAAUCUUAUACAUAAUAUUAAAUCAUUUUAUUGUUACUUCAAAUUUGGUAAAUAAUUUUAUACUGUAUAAUUAGUGAUAAAACUUUGUAACUGUUUAGUCGAUUUAUUCUUCACUCUCUCCCUUUAUAAAAAAACCAAAAAAAAUUUAGAAGCAAUUAACAAGAUUUAAUAAGAUAAUAAAAGUAUCAUCCUUUUGUUUUUGGUUAUUCAAAUUUUACAGAUAAGAGAAUCAAACCAUAUGACUUACACAAAUUUCAGAUUUCAUAAGCAGGCCUAAAUAAUUAUAUUAAAAGUUAUAUUUUUUAAAACUAAUAUCUUAGACAACAAGUGUGCAUGUUGCUAAAACCUAAUUAUGGAUUUUUAAAUUCAAAGAGUGUUUACGAAAGUUAUAACUUAUUAGCGAUAAUUGGAGCAUUUAAAAGCACAAUUAUGAAAAGGCUAAGACUGGUAUUUGCUUGUUAUUGUUGUAGACCAGUUUAGUGAAAGUUAUUUUAAAGGGUAGUUUUGAAAAUUUGCUGUGUUUGGAGGGGCAUUUAGGAUAGCUCAAUUUUUAUAUUAAAUGUUUCCUAUAUUCAGAGGAAAAUUUGGAAUAUUUUAAUUUUUAUAGGGACUGUAUUUUUAGAUGGACAUACAGAAAAAUUUUCCUAUUUAAGGGAUGGGGUCACUCACUCAUCAGAUUUCCACCUGCUGGAUGAGUGGGAUGUACAAUAUUGAUAUUUUUCGAAAUUGAUAAAUGUUAUUAGUUAAUAAGAUAUAAAUUUAAAGGGCUUUUUUUUUGCAAAUAGUCCCCUGACAAAUUUUAUUUGCAAAAAUAGCCCUGUUCAAAAAUUAUUUGCAAAAAUGGCCCUGCUCCUGCCACGCCAACGCCACGUCAGCGCCACGCGGGCAGGACGGGCCCAGAUGUUUAAGUUGAACACGGUGAACCAUUCACCGUGUUCAAUACAAGAUUUUUGUAUUGGACACGGUGAAUGGUUCACCGUGUCCAAUACAAAUGCCCCAACAAUGACUAAGUUAGAGGUAUUUGUAUUAGACACGGUGAACCAUUCACCGUGUCUAAUUAUUUGUAUUGGACACGGUGAAUGAUUCACCGUAUCCAAUACAAAUAUUUCGAUCUUAGCUAUUUUGUAUUGGACACGGUGAAUCAUUCACCGUGUCCAAUACAAAAACUUUGUAUUGAACACGGUGAAUGGUUCACCGUGUCCAAUACAAAAACUUUGUAUUGAACACGGUGAAUGGUUCACCGUGUUCAACUUAACCAUCUGGCCCAGCCCCGCCCGCGUGGCGCUGACGUGGUGCUUGCGUGGCGGGGCCAGGGCCAUUUUUGUAAAUAAAUUUUUGACAGGGCCAAAUUUAAAAUUUUUUUUUGUAAGGGGGCUAUUUGCAAAAAAAGCCCAAAUUUAAAUUAACUUAAUAACUAGUUAAUGGCAUAACAAAUUUAUAAAUUUUUUUCUAAAAACUUUAAAUAACAAAAUAAAUUAAAUACUAAAAUUAAACCAUCGCUGCUAAGAAAGUAAGAAUAAAGUAGGCUAUCAUAUCUAACGAAUUUAUAGCUAAUAAAGAGUUUGAUGAUUGACAUGUGCAAAUUCAAGUUAGAUGUAGGAAUGUCAAUGGGGGUCGGAUUCGAAGCGAAUUUUUAAAAAUCCGAAUCCAAAUCCGACGAAUUUUAAAAUUCAUAUCCAAAUCCGAACCCGACCAAAAAACUAAAACCUGAAUUCAAAUCCGAACCGAAAUAAUUAUUUCUCUUUUGCAAUAUUUCAAAAUAUAUUAUGUUAAAUUUAAAUUCUUAAAAUGCAAAUUUAAAUAUAAUAUUAAAUUUUUAUUUACAUAUUAUAUAUAAUGUAAAAUAAAUUCUGAUUCGGGUUGAAUUCGAAUUCGGAUCGGAUACAUUCAAAAUUCAUAUUUGUCGGAUCGUUGGCGCUAACCAUUAAUCCCAAAAGCUUGAGCUGUUAGAAAUACGCAACCAAUUCACUUAAAGCGUACAGAAACAACGCCCACGGGUCUCGAUUGUGACUCGGCCCACCUGGCCUCACGCCGCUUCGAACGUGACUCGGCCCAACCCAGCCUCAUGGCAUUUCGAACAUGACUCGGCCCACAUGGCCUUACGCCACUUCGAACAUGACUCCCGUCACAGAGCAAGAUGCUGACCCAUUUAAGCCAACAAUAUUCGUAUUCAUAUUUGUGGGAUAUUUGUACUUGAUAUUCAAAUCCCAAAUUAAAUCUAUUAAGUACCGGAUAACUUCGCUUCGUUCCGAUUCGGUUCCCAUUCGGUUUGGAUAAAAUUUCGACCCUCUGUAUGUACCUGUCGACAUCCCUAGUUGGAAGUUUACUGAAAAUGACAAAAGCGAAACGAGACUGGGAGGCAAUGCUGCCAGCCAGGCACUGAAUGAGAAUGCUUCACUUCCACGGGAGGGAGGGAGGGAGGGAAGGAGGGAGGGCGAGGGAGAUUCAGGUAGUCUUCGCAAACCUAAAAUUCAUCUUCUCUAUAAUUUGCAGCUGCUGCGCUCAGUUCGCUCGCCUCCCAAUGGCGAAGAAAACCAUCCGAUUGGGUCGGCUCGGAUCCUUGCGGAGACAUUUGGAUCGGAAUCAACUGCACCGACUCCCGGAUCGUCUCAAUGUGAGCGCCCUCUCUCUCUCUCUCUCUCUCUCUCUCUCUUCUCCUCUCCUUCUUCUCUCUAUUAUAUAUAUAUAUAUAUAUAUAUAUGCUAGGAAAACCCUUUUAUAAUUAAUUUUUAGCUUUCUUUCUCUUUUUUUUUUUGUUUGGGCAGAAAAAUUGUCGAGCAUGGGACUGAGCGGAACACUUUCAGACGACAUUCAGUAUAUAGAGGAAUUACAAGACUUUGUAAGCGUCAGUCUAGUAUAUGCUGCUUAAUUUGGUCAUGCUUCUUGUGAACCUGUAAUUCAUGAAACACAUCCUAACAAGCGAACACCUAUUCCUAUAUACUAGAGUUCCUAGGAAUUUUGUAGUCUUGUUAGAACUCAGUCUUUAGGUUGGAAAUCUUACAUCUUAAAUGUUGAAGGUUGGGGAUCCAACCUACGACCUCACGGAAGGAGUUUAGAAUUGGAUAUAAUAUCAUAGAAACCUAAGAGGUCGAUCUUUUAGGCAACAAUACCAUGUAUCCUAAGUCAUCGUGCAAGAUGAAUUGUCUAGGAAUAUGUAUAUAUAUAUUAACACCUUUAUUCACGUGCAUGAUGAAUAUCAAAGACACGUGGAAUUAAUAGGUAAGGUAAGAUAUGUUGGGGAAUAUGAGUAGAGAUCAAGUAAAUUAUGGUCUUGAGGUGUGUAAGUUCACUUUCUUUAAGGUGAUAUUUGCCUCCACUCAAAUGGAUGUUGCUAGGUUACCAGCAAAUCACUUCCAGAAUACAACAAGGCCGCCGAAAGACUGCAAACAACGCUUUUGAAGACUUUCCCUCAAAAGCUUCUCUUAAGAAUCAAUAUUUAGGAAGGAGAAAGAAUUGAUUACACUACCCUUGAAACCUUCAAACAUCUCCUAUUUAUAGGAGAUGAAUGAUUACGAUGAAAGGAUACAACUUUUAAAGUUAUAUCUUUUAUUAAAAGACACAUCCGUUCACAAAUAGUGAAAAGGCAUAUCUCUUCACAAAUGAAAAAACAUAUAUAUUCUUUCACAAAGGGUUCAUCUUUUUGUGAAGAAGCGUGUCUCUUUUUAAAGAGAUAUAUCUCUUUGCAUCAAAUGAAAGGACACGUCUUUCAUAAGAAUAACUAAUUCACCAAAGAGACAAACCAUUCAAUUAAUUUUAGUUUUGAUUCUUCAAGUCAUUUUCUCACAUCCAUUAUUACAAUAUACACUAACAAGGUAUCGAGAUUUAACCUAUCAUAUAAUUCAAAAUUUAACCUGUUGAAUGUUGAAGGUGGGGAUCGAACCCACAACCACACAAUACGAAAAGGUUUAGAAUUGACUUUGAUACCUUGUAACCUAAAAGAUCAAUCUUUUGGUAACAAUACCAUAUAACCAAAAUGAUCGAUCUUUUGGGAUACAUGGUAUCAAAGCCAAUUCUAAAUUUCUUCAUUUUGUGAGGUCAUGGGUUCGAUUCCCACCUUCGACAUUUAACAGGUUAAAUCAAGUUAAUUAUGAUAGGAUAAAUUCCCAUCUCUUAUCUCAUAUAUCAAUCGCACGUGUCUUUCAUAUCCAUAAUGCACAUGAAUGAACGUCCUAAAGUAUAUUCCUAGGCUUAUAUAUCUGGGCCGUUUCCUACUAGAUCGAUCUGUUGGGUAAUAUAGAUAAAAAUAUAUCUUCCGAGUAUAGUCAAUUUAGCUAUUUUACUAUUCAACUAAGCUUAGGUUAAGAGUAUAUAUUAGCACUCUGAUUCACGUGCAUGAUGGAUAUGUAAGACACGUAGAAUCGAUUGGUUAGAUAAGAGAUCGAGAUUUAACCUAUCAUAUAAUACCGAAAUUUAACCAGUUAAAUAUUGAAGGUAGAGAUCUAACCCAUAACCUUACAGAAUGAAGGGGUUUAGAAUUGGCUCUGAUAAUACGUAACCUAAAAGAUUGAUCUUUUGGGUAACAAUACCAAGUGACCUUAAUAAUCGAUCUUUUGCGGUAAUAUGGCAUCAAAGCCAAUUUUAAAUCCCUUUAUUCUGUGAGGUUGUUGGUUCGAUCCUCACCUUUGACAUUUAACAGGUUAAAUAUGAUGGGUUAAAUCCCCAUCUUUUAUUUUAUCUAUCGAUUCCAUGUGUAUUUCAUAUCCAUCAUACAAAUAAAUUGGGGUGCUAAUGUAUAUUUCUAGGCCUAUAUUUCUGGGCCCUUUUCGAUUAGAUCAAUUUUCUCAGUAACAAAAGGUAAAAAUAUAUCUUCGAAGCAUAGUUAGAUGAGGUAAGAGUUGGAGGUUUAAUCCAUCGCAUAAUACGAAAAGCUAAUCUCUUAAAUGUUGAAAGUGGGGAUCGAACCUAUGAUCUCACAGAGUGAGAGUUUAGAAUUGGUUCUGAUAGUAUGUAAUCUAAGGGAUGGAUCUGAUGGAUAACAAUAUAAUGUAACCUAAAUGAUCAUGCAUGAAAAAUUGGCCAGGAAUAUAUAUUAACACUCUUAUUCACGUGUAUGAUGAAUAUGGAUAACAUGUGGAAUCGAUAGAUGAGGUAAGAGAUUGAGAUUUAACUCAUUACAUAAUACGGAAAUAUAACCUGUUAAAUAUUGAAGGGCGGGGGGGGGAGGGUGGGAGGUAGUGGGGCCAGGAAUAUAUAUUAACACCCCUAAUUCAUGUGCGUGAUGAAUAUAAAAGAUACGUGAAAUCGAUAGAUGAGGUAAGAGAUGGACAUUUAACCUAUCAUAUAACACGAAAAUUUAACCUGUUAAAUAUUGAAUAUGGGGAUCGAAUCCACAAGUUCUCAGUAUGAAGGGAUUUAAAAUUGGCUCUGAUACCAUGUAACCUAAAAGAUCGAUCUUUUGGGCAACAAUGCCAUGUAAUCUAACAGUUCGAUCUUUUGGGUAAAAAUUUCAUGCAAACUAAAUGAUCGAUCUUUAAGGGUAAUAUAGUAGAACAACUAAUUCUAAAUCUUUUCAUUCUUUGAGAUCAUGGAUUCGAUUCCUACCUUCAAAAUUUAACAGGUUAAAUAUGAUAGGUUAAAUCCUUUAUUUUACUUCGUCUAUCGAUUCUACGUUUUUUUUCAUAUUCAUCAUACACAUGAAUGGGGGUAUUAAUGUAUAUUCUUCGCACUAUAUUUCUAGGCUGUUUCCUACUAGAUAGAUCUUUUGGGUAACAUAGGUAAAAAUAUAUCUUUCGAGUAUAUUCAAUAUACCUAUUUUACAAUUCAACUAAGUUUAGAUUAAGAAUAUAUAUUAACACUGCCAUUCAUUUGCAUGAUGGAUGUGAACGACACAUGAGAUCGAUAAGUGAGGUAAGAGAUUGAGAUUUCACCUAUCAUAUAAUACAGAAAUCUAACCUGUUAAAUAUUGAAGGUUUUUGGGUGGGGUGGGGUAGUGGGGCUAAGAAUAUAUGUUAACACCCCUGAUUCAUGUGCAUGAUGAAUAUGAAAGGCACGUGAAAUUGAUAGAUGAGGUAAGAGAUGGAGAUUUAACCUAUCAUAUAACACGAAAAUUUAACCUAUUAAAUAUUGAAGGUGGGGAUCGAAUCCACGAGUCCACAGAAUGAAGGGGUUUAAAAUUGGCUCUGAUACUAUGUAGUCUAAAAGAUCGAUCUUUUGGACAACAAUACUAUGUAAUCUAACAGUGCGAUCUUUUGGUUAUAAAUUUUAUGCAAACUAAAUGAUUAAUCUUAAAGGGUAAUAUGGUAACACAACCAAUUAUGAAUCUCUUCAUUCUUUGUGAUCGUAGAUUUGAUCCCUACCUUCAACAUUUAACAGGUUAAAUAUGAUGGAUUAAAUCUCUUAUUUUACCUCAUCUAUUGAUUCCACGUCUUUUUCAUAUUCGUCAUACAUAUGAAUGGGGGUGUUAAUGUGUGUUCUUCACAUUAUAAUUCUAGGUCGUUUCCUGCUAGAUAAAUCUUUUGGGUAACAUAGGUAAAAAUAUAUCUUUUGGGAAUGUCAAUAUAGCUAUUUUACAAUUCAACUAAGUUUAGGUUAAGAAUAUAUAUUAACACCACCAUUCAUUUGCAUGAUGGAUAUGAACGAUACAUGGAAUCGAUAGGUGAGGUAAGAGUUGAAGAUUUGACCUAUCAUAUAAUACAUAAAUCUAACCUGAUAAAUGUUGAUGGUGGGGAUCGAACUUACGACCUCACAGAAUAAAGGAGUUUAGAAUUGGUUUUGAUACCUAGUAACCUAAAAGAUCAUUUUUUAGGUAACAAUUCUAUGUAACCUAAAUGAUCAUGCAUGAUGAAAUAGCUAGAAAUAUAUAUAAACAUUCUUAUUGACAUGCAUGAGGAAUAUGAAAGACACGUGAAAUUAAUAGGUGAGGUAAUAGAUGGAAAUUUAACCCAUCAUAUAAUAUAAAAAUUUAACAUAUUAAAUGUUGAAGGUAGAGGGAAUAGGGGGUGGAUUCAUUGGAAUUGAUGGUGAGGUAAAAGAUCGAGAUUUUACCCAUCAUAUAAUACCAAAAUUUGGCGUGUUAAAUAUUAAAGGUGGGGAUCGAAGCCAUGACCUCACAGAACAAAAGGGUUUAAAAUGGCUCUGAUACUAUGUAAACUAAAAGAUUGAUCUUUUUCGUAACAAUACAAUGUAACCUAAAUGAUCAAUCUUUUAGGGUAAUAUGGUAUCGAAGCCAAUUCUAAAUCCUUUCAUUCUGUGAGGUCGUAUGUUCGAUCCCCACUUUCAACAUUUAUCAGGUUAAAUAUGAUGGAUUAAAUCCCCAUCUCUUACCUCAUCUAUUAAGUACACGUGUCUUUAAUAUCUAUCAUGUGCAUGUAUUGGGGUGUUAAUUAUAUUCCUUGGCCUAUAUUUCUUGGCUGUUUCCUACCAGAUUGAUCUUUUGGAUAACAUAGAUAAAAUAUAUCUAUUGAGCAUAGUCCAUUUAGCUAUUUUACUAUUCAACUAAGCUUAGGUUAAGAAUAUAUAUUUGCGCCCAUGAUUCACAUGUAUGAUGGAUAUGAAAGACAUAUGAAAUCGAUUUGUGAGGUAAGAAUUGGAGAUUUAACCUAUCAUAUAGUAUGGAAAGCUAGCUUGUUAAAUGUUGAAUGUGGGGAUCGAACCUAUGACCUUAUAGAAUAGAGGAGUUUAGAAUUGUCUCUGAUUCCAUGUAACCUAAAAAAUUGAUCUUUUUGGUAUCAAUACCAUGUAACCUAAAUGAUCAUGCAUGAAGAACUAGCUAGGAAUAUAUAUAUAUAUAUAUAUGUAUAUAUAUAUAUAUAUAUGUAUAUAUAUAUAUAUAUAUGUAUAUUCAGGCCUGGAAUAGCUAUCAUACACACCAAUACAGUUGGUUGCUUAUUAGUUUUUUAGCCUUUGAUUGAAAAACUUGCGCUUAGGAGAUUGGCCCCUAGGAUUGAAGUGGGUGUUGGUUGGGUUGAUAUAUAUAACUCAUAACGGUAAAAAAUAAUAUAGGGUUUAAAUCUACUUAACGGUGAAAUCUGCGAUAAAACCCAACCUUUGUGCUAUCGAUAGUAUCCCUGGCUGGACUCAUAUAUAAUAUAUAUUAUAGUUAAUAUAUUAUUUUAUUAAUUAUAUAAUACUAUAAGACUUCCAUUCACAUGCGUAAUGAAUGUAAAAACCACGUGGAUCGAUUGGUGAGGUAGGAUAUGAAGAUUUAACCCUUAAUAUAGUACAAAAAAUUAAUCUAUUAAAUAUUAAAGGUAGGGGGUAGGGGGCCAAAAAUUUAUAUUAACACCCCUAAUAUAUGUGCAUGAUGAAUAUGAAAGAUAUGUGGAAUCGAUGAGUAAGGUAAGAGAUGGAGAUUUAACCCAUCAUAUAAUAUGAAAAUUUAACCUGUUAAAUACUUAAGGUGAGGAUCAAACCUACGAUCUCACAAAAUGAAGGGGUUUAGAAUUGGCUUUGAUACACCAUGUAACCUAAGAGAUUGAUCUUUUGGGUAACAAUACUAUGAAACCUACAAGAUCGAUUAUUUGGGUAAUAAUACCAUGUAAACAUAAAUGAUCGAUCUUUUGGGUAACAUGGUAUCAGAGUCAAUUCUAAUCCCUUCAUUCUUUGAGGUCGCGGUUUGGAUCCCCACGUUUAACAUUUAAUUGGUUAAAUAUGAUGGGUUAAAUUCUCAUCUUUUACCUCAUCGAUCAAUUUCACGUGUCUUUCAUAUACAUCAUGCAUAUGAAUAAGGGUGUUGAUGUAUAUUCUUGGUCCUAUAUUUCUUGGCAUUUUCCUAGUAGAUCAAUCUUUUGGGUAACAUAGGUAAAGAUAUAUCUUCUGAGUAUAGUCAAUUUAGCUAUUUUACAAUUCAACUAAGCUUAAGUUAAGAAUAUAUAUUAACACUCCCAUUCACCUGCACGAUGGAUAUGAAGACAUGUGGAAUCGAUUGAUGAGGUAAGAGUUAGAGAUUUAACCAAUUAUAUAAUAAGGAAAUCUAACCUAUUAAAUGUUGAAGGUGGGGAUCGAACUUACGACCUUAUUGAACGAAGGAGUUUAUAAUUGACUCUCAUAUCCUAUAACCUAGAAGAUCGAUCUUUUAGGUAACAAUACUAUAUAAUCUAAAUGAUCGACAUAAUAAACUGGCCAGAUAUAUAUAUAAACAACCUCAUUUUUGUUCAUGAUGAAUAUAAAAGACACGUGAAAUCGAUAGGUGAGGUAAGAGAUGGAGAUUUAACCUAUUAUAUAAUAUAGAAUUUUAACCUAUUCAGAAUGAAGGAGUUUAGAAUUGGCUCUGAUACCAUGUUACUUAAAAAAUCGAUUUUUGGGUAACAAUACCAUCAAUCAUUUGGUGGUAACAUGCUAUUAGAGCCUACUUUAAAUGAGGUCCUGGGUUCGAUCCCCUCCUUCAACAUUUAAAAGGUUAAAUAUAAUGGGUUAAAUCUCCACCUCUUACCUUAUCUAUCGAUUUCAUGUGCUUGUUAUAUCUAUCAUGCACGUGAGUGGGGGAGUUAAUGUAUAUCCUUGAGCCUAUAUUCCUUGAUCAUUUCCUGCUAGAUCAAUCUUUUGGGUAACAUAGGUAAAAAUGUAUCUUCCUUGUAUAGUCAAUUUGCUAAUUUACUAUUCAAGCACAUUGAAAUGAUUUUUUAUCUUUAUAAAAACAACAAAACUGAAUCGAAUUCAAUUCAACACUUUAUGUCAAUUGAAAAAAAUUCACUUGUAACUGCAAUCAAUUUUACUGAAAUCAAUUGAAUUCUAUUCGGAUUUGAUUAAGGCAGGCUUGUAUGAUAGCCAAUAGUCCUAUAUUGAGUAGUAAAGUGAAUGUGUUUGGGUAUAUUAGUACUAGGCACUAUAUUAUUUAUAACUUGGACUUAACAGUUUGGAACGGUGGUCUGAGCCUAACAAGUUGCUAGUGAUAGUCCUAGGUCAUUAUAGCUAAUUUCUUGUGAAUGUCUCUGUAAUACUUUUUUGUCACUAUAAAUGCUCACAUGAUGCCAUGACCAGGGACUAGUCUUACAACAAGGGUUUGAGUGGCGGGCUUCAUGCAUCAAUUGGGAGGUUGAGUAAACUUGAAAACUUGUAAGCAAUUCAAGAUAGUUUCUAUUUCUAUAAUUAAGUAUAAAUUUUCUGCUGCUUCAGAACCCAGAACUGAUGCCAUUGUGUUUGUUCUUUAUUCAGGCUUCUUACUGGCUGCAGCUUUUCUGGUGAAAUUCCACCGGAAAUAGGCUUACUAUCCAGGCUAGUCUAUCUGUAAGAUAUUUGAACUCCUGAAUUUUCUUUCUUCUGUUACCUGAUUUACUGACUACGUAUAGAAAAUUACAUAUUUUUAUGCUGAGAAGUCUUAGCUGCCUAAAUUAUCCGAAAGUUAGAGAAAAUAUAAAGGUUCGAUUGUACGUAGACUGCCUCAACUUUAGGCCACUUUAAAGAAUCAGUCUUUCGCCCAACCCAACAAAGUCUUCUCUUUCUUGACCAGUCCAUGCAGACUCUCACCAGAGCAACUUUUGUACGUAAGCUAGGCUCCUCCCUCUAAAAUUGAUUCAAGUAAUUCCCCCAGACUUCGGAUUUUCUGAUUGAUACCUCCUUAACUAAUAUUAAUUUUUUAAUCUAAACUAAAAUUUGGUAACGUUGUUAGAAAUUAACUCCUCUGCCGUCUCUUCUACAUUCAUCAUGUUCCUGUUGCGCAGCGUGGCUCCGGCUCUCAGUGGAUGCAGCGAGCACGAGGGCCAGUGGUAGUGGUGUUGUGGGAGCAGAGAUAGGUGCUGGGAGAGGUUGAGAUUGAGGGGAAAAUAGACUUUGGUACAUCUACGAUGAUGUGUUAACUUCACUGACGAAACAACGAAAAGGAAUUUAACGUACAACCACCGAUAGUAUAGGAGUUGUCAAUCAAAAAAUUGAAAGCCCGAGAGGAUAUUUCAGAGCGGCCUACAGUUAACGAUACAUUUUUAACGAAAGAUAAGUCUUUUUUUUUUGCAUUCAAAAGAAUAAAUCGAACCGUUAGCAUCAGAGAAUGCAGUCUAAUGCACCUAAAGUACAAUAUGGCGGAGUGUUGUAGCACUUAUCCAAUCCUAUGUAAACACUUAAAUGUAUUCGUGAUAAGAAUAUAUUAUGGAGCUUUUUCAAUGGUGAAGCCUAAAACACUAACACCUAAAUCAACAAUUCUACCCAUCAAAUAGUCUUAUAGGCUUAAAAGGAAAAGCCCCUUCUUUCUAAACUUCAAAUUAUAAGUGACCUUGUAUCCUUCUGAAAAUGUUUUCGUGAUGAUAACUUUCUUGGCAUACUUGAUGAGUAUGUAAUUUUGUGCUCGUUAUGUCUUGUAAAGAAAUGUUGUGAUUCUUGAAGUCUAAUGGACAUCUGUCAUCACCAAUAUCUGUCAUCACCAAUUUUUUUCUUCUUUCUUUUCUUGAUUCUCUUCAGCUUUUGCAUCCUGCAGAUUUAAAGUUUUGGGCCAGUCUGUUGUAACAACAUGUUGUUUAAACAAUCUCCACGUGUCUGCAGAUCUUUGGACUAUAAGGGUGCGUUUGGUUCGCAUUAUAAAAGAUUACUAGGAAUAAAAGAUAUCCGAGAAUCUUAUUAUUAUUCAUCCUAUUACUAAGAAUGUGGAAUUCCUGUGUUUGGUUCACAUAGUAAUAUUAAUUAGCCUUGUUAUUUAAUAUUACAAAAAUUAUACAAUUAAUUAAUUUAUUUAUUUAAUUAAUUUUAGAUAAUGUUACUAAAAGUUUCAACAUCUUUUUAGAAAAAAGGGAGAGAGAGUAUAAGUUAGAGAGAGAGAGCACAAUUAAAAAAAUAGGAAGAAAAAUAUAGUCGAAAUUAAAGGGAGUGAGAGAGUUGAAAUUUUAGAAAGAGAGAGAGAGAAAGCUUAGUUUAGAGAGAGAAAAAAAAAAGUUAAAUUUUAGAGAGAAAUAAAUUUAGAGAGAGAUAUAAGAUUAGAGUAUAAAGAAAAAUAAUAUCAAUUAGCCGGCGGGUAGGAAGAAAGAAAGAGAUUAGAUAUAUUAUGAUUACCCCAAUCCAUUAAUAUGAGGAUACCCACCCUCCUCAAGGGAAUGAGAUUAGUACUUUGGGGUGAAUCUUAUUCCCAAGUGAAUCCAAUAUUACCAACUAGAUUACUUAGUGCGUUUAGCCAAACACCGUCAUAUUUUUUUAUUCCCAUUAGAUUACUAGGAAUCUUUAAAAGAUAGCGCGAACCAUACGCACCCUAAUAGCUUUACU
rnacentral:lncRNA from 1 species